UAUCUCUCUGUCUUUUCCAUCUUUCCGGUCCUGUUAUAUGUCUUCUCUUCUCUUCUUCUUUUCCUUCUUUUUUUCUCGCUGUUAAAAGAUGAUCAUGGAGGGGAGGAGGGCUUCCCCGGGGGGUGGAGCCUGACGGAGAUGGCGUUUACGUUCAUUCAUGUUGUUUUUCUUUCGGUUCCUGGGAUAUGUCUUUUCCUUCUUUCCUUCUUGUUUUCUGUCUGUUAAAUCAUGGAGGGGAGGAGGGCUUCCCCGGGGGGGGAGCCUGACGGAGAUGGUUUUUCCGUGAAUUUCUGUUGUUUUUCUUUCCGGUCGAAAUUUCUUCCUGUCCGGACUAGAGAGGAGCAUUUUUCCUUCCUCUUUCUCUUCUGCUCAACUGCUCAAGAAUUUUCUCUCAUCAGAUAUAAGGGCGGUAGAUGAUAAUGAAAAAAGGGCUCAGCGUCUGGACGGGCGGAAUGGAUGAGCGAAAGGUGCCAUGCCAUGGAGUGAGGAAUAUCCCGAGUCUCAUCUAAGACAUCAAAAUGAACCUCGAGGUGCUGCCGAGGAACUGGGGGACCUUCUCGAGCACAGGAUAGGCAAUUGAGAUCUCGAGCUAGCCUCUUCGUUAUGGGGAAUCAAUGCUCCGGGCCGAAUAGAGCUUACCUCCGGCACCUGGCUUUCUCCGCUCCGUGGGCAUAUUAGCUUAGCUGCGCUUAAUAGGCCGGUUUGCCUUCCAUUCAGACUCCCAGAAAGUUCAAGCCUAGCUCCGUGGGCCACGCUACACUCCCACUCCAAGCUAGGCCUGCUGAGCAAGAUGCAUUGCUCUUUCCUCUUCUGUGGACGCACCUCACAUAUUCCCAAAGGGAAGAGACAGACUUUUUUCGGAGGCGGGCUUUCUCUCUACAAGCCAAAGAGGCCCCAAGACAAGGUAGAAUUGUUGGGAAGGGGACAUGAGAAAUAGAACCUGGCUGGAUUCGGGGGAUCUCCGCCCCGAGGUUGGGAGUUUUUGUCCUGAUGGAUAAUACAGUGCAUCCAUUUUCUUUCAUCCUCCCUUAUCGUUCAUAUCAACAAAGAUAUUUCAUAGCUUUCAGAACCGCUACGUGGGUAUCGAGGUGGAUAAGGCGCGAACAGCAGCCAAAGAACCUACGUUCCCAACAGCAGCAUGGGAAUGCCCCGGCCGCCUAAGACAACGAGGGGGACCCCCAGGCCAGAUCAGUGGCAUCCGCUGAAAGGGCAGUUGGUAGCCGUCCUUCGUCUUCUUUAUUAACCCGUAAAAUCUUGCUUAGUUGCAGACGUUAGGAGCAAAGAAUAUUGCGAGAACCUCCGGACUAUCCAUUAGAAUUAGACAUAUUCAUAUUUUCAAAAAAAAAGGCUCAAAGAAAGGUGCAGUUGAGGAGCAAAGAAUAUUGCCUUCCACAUAUUAAGCUGCGACUGAGGCGCAAUGAAAUAUGCGAUUGAGAAGAACAAGAACUGAAAGGGCAACCAGCACUGUACGAACCACCGCCUCAAUGAACAAGGCUACAAGACCUAGAACUCACUCGAUCGGCAACUUCCCUUUCUCGAAUUCCUGGAGCAAGAAAUGAAAGGGGAGACUGAAAGAGAGCCAGCGUGCUUGCCUCCCUCCGACUGAAAAAAGAAGAGUGCUUGAGGCUAAACCUUCUCGUUAUGAUAGAUCCAACAAUGCUGGUUGGUGUUGGGGAGUUUGGGAGUUUCUUUCUCCUGUCUGAACUUCCUUCCUUAGACCUAGAGGUCUAGCUAUCCUACUCGUUCAUUCAUUGUACAAUAGUAAGAAUCUGCCGCUUUUAAGCUAAGCAACUCCGACUAUCUUCAUGCUACGGGGACUCAAACAUAUACUUCCCAUUCAAGGGGCUAGAGCGAGCGUAAACCCUUUCUUAUCUGACUGUGCCUGCUUACAGUGCUUGGUCGAGUUUGUGCCGACUUUCUUCCCCUGACGCAACUCUCUACUUAUACUGAUUAUUGACCUUCCCCCGUGGUGGGAUCGACCAUUUGUCUUUUCAUUCAUCCUUGAAAUUCAGUAAUUAAGCCUUUCAUGAAUGAGAGAUAGAUCGAACCACGGGAGCGGACUAGUGGCGGAAUGGUGAAUGACAAAUGCUACCGCCAUAAGAAUGGGACCUCUUCUCCUAAACUAAACGUCUCGCAACUUUCUUCUACCCCACUCCUAGGUUCAUCAGGCGCCCAAUGGUUGAACUUGGUAUCGUAGACCUUCCUUCCUAUACCCCUUUCUUCUUCUUCUCUUUUCUUAAGGAAGGGGUUGCUUCGUUCAUCGCCUAAGGCUGAUUUCUGAAAAUCAAGGAUUAACGCCCGUGCAAACUCAGUGGUUAUUGAACCUAAAAUUGGACUAGAUUGAUGAGUUUGAUCCUUUCUAGUCAAGGUGGUACGCGUUUGCACUCCAUUUUCUGAAUCUUUUGUCAUUGCGCAUGAGGUACUGUAAGCAUAUGCUUCACACGUCCCGAUCGGGAAAUCGGUAAGUAAAUGAAUGGGUCUUGCCCUAUUAAAGAGAGCCCUAAACUGAGAAUGAAUCUUUGACCUCUUGGCCUUCCCCCCCACUUGCUGCAACCCAGGAUGAAACCCACUUUCAGUCCAUUUUUCACAUCUUAACCGAGGGGACGUGGUCAGGCCACUAUGGAGGUUCGAAGAAAGGAGACGUAGUUUACGAAGUUGAGAAGAGCUAAGCUCGAUAGAGUUGUAGAGUGAGAGGUUCAACUCCUCCCGUCCCAGCCUUAGAAUGAAAGAGAUAUCUAGCUUCCGGCGCUUCCGUCCUCCCUCUCCUUUCAGUCGAGCUAUUUCAUCCCUCUCCUUUCAGUCGAGCUAUUUCAUCCCUCUCCUUUCAGUCGAGCUAUUUCAUCCCUCUCCUUUCAGUCGAGCUAUUUCAUCCCUCUCCUUUCAGUCGAGCUAUUUCAUCCCUCUCCUUUCAGUCGAGCUAUUUCAUCCCUCUCCUUUCAGUCGAGCUAUUUCAUCCCUCUCCUUUCAGUCGAGCUAUUUCAUCCCUCUCCUAACCGCUCCGUGGGAGCAAGUCUGAUUCCACUAAAAGGACUUCCUAUGGUCGAGUAACUUCUUCCGUAUUCAAAGUGAGUCCGUCUCGUCUUUGUCAAGUGACUUGGGAUCCAUUUACUGAAUUAUGUGCAAUCCCCCAUAGAAAUCCGCUUAUCAUUUAAGAACGAGCAAUUGCCUCAUGGGGCAAGAGGGCUAGCUAGGUUCAUGAAUUAGAUCUUUCGUCACUUCCUCUUAGCCAUAUUCACCCUUGGGAAACCCCGCUUCACGUCUUAUUUAUGAUGGAUGAGCUUUUUCCCGUUCUUGGAUGAAAGCCUAAACAGCAAAAUGGCAGGUAGAAGAAUUAUAAAUCAUAAAACUUAUCUUAGUGGCCACUAAAUAUAGAUUUCAUUAAUGCUUCCAUGGAUUUUAGCACUAUAAUUUGUUAUUGUUUGUGUUCCGUACUUGAAAUGUCAACUCUCCAUCUAAAAGACGACUAUGAACUUCUAUUAGAUGAAAUUUUAGAAAUUUGUACUAUUUAGAUCACAUAAUUUUAAAAUAAAUUUAAAAAACAUAAUUUUGUUAGCUUGAACAGUUCAGAGAAUUUAAAAAGUAUAAGAUUUUAAAAAGUAUAGGAUCUUUCUAUUAGAUAACUACAAUAUAUAUUAUCUAAAUUAGAUAAAAAAAAAAUUGGAUCAAAAUUACCAUUAGUCCCGUUAAGUAGUCAUUUCAUUUUGUUUUCCAAUUUUUAAAUAUGUAUUCUUUCUUUUUACUAUUUUUACAUGAUUUGCAUCUUCCUUAAAUAUAUUAGGUUAUUUCUUAACCAAAUUUCAAAAUCAAAAGUUUUUUUUUUUUAAGUUUUCAAAUUUUGUCAUGGUUUUUUAAAUAAUAUUGAUAAAAAUUAGAUAAUAAUAAUGGUGUUGUAGGAUUUUUAGGUUUGAUUGUUAAAAACUAAAACUAAAAAAGAAAUAGUACAAAACAAACCUAAUUAAUUUUUUGUUUUUAGAAAUUAAGCUUACAUUUUUUACUCUUUCUUAUUGAGUAACUUUUUUUAUGUUAUUUUCUACCAAUAUUUUUGAAAAUGUAAACCAUAAUAUUAUUUCAUGAAUCAGUAGGCUCUUUUAAAAAUUAAAAUAUAUUAUAAAAAUAUUCUAUUCAAUUUUAUUUGUGAAAAGAAGUAUUUAAUUUGAUGCUUCAUAAUUUUCUUAAUCCGAUCAAUGACUCUUCUAUUCUUACUUUUAUCUCAAACAAAAUAGAUUGAAAAUAUCGGAUUGAUUAAAGAAGUAUAUAUCUUCCACCAAAAGAUAUUGAAUCCUAAAUUCAACUAAUUGAGCCAAAAAAAAAAGUAUAUUAAACUCUCUAAAAAGACAUAUCUAAAGAAGAGAUUUUUAUAGUUUUGAAGUUUUAUUAUAUCUAAGUUGAUCUCUCACAAAUUUCAUGCGAAAAAUAAGCACUAAGAGAUGAAUUGUCUCCUCCCAAUGACACUAAAAUAUACUAGUUGACAAAAUUUAACUUAUAACAAAUAGUUAUCAUUUUUCCCAAAGAGAAAAAAGAGGGUAUUGGGCAUAGUUUCAAAUUCAAUUAAAUAAAAUAAAAAAUUAAAAUCCCUACAAAAACAGAGAGAUACAUUGGUAAAUGUUCUCCUAAGUCAAAACCUAGUACAUCAACUUUACAUUAAAAUGAGUAAUUUAAGCCUUAAGUUGAAAAAAUAUUUAAUUUGAAAGUGUUGAAUUAGGAUUUUAAACAUAGCUAGAGACACUUUAAUGUGUGGAAACCAAUAAAGGAUAUUAUUAAUUAGCAGCAUGUCGUUAAGACAGGAUCAUGCCUUAAUUAAUGCGACACUUUGAUUUAAUUAAUAAUUAUUUGUAUCAUACACAUUUUCACUUGUCUCUCCAUCAAUUGGUUCUUCCAGGAUUUCAAAUUAAUAACUCUAUUCUUAAUCUCUCUUUUUCACUGCCUAUCUACUUUAUAUCACAUGCAAUAUAAUAACAGUAUAUUUUUUUAAUCUUUCUCUUUUACUACAUAAUUUAUUAUCUCACAUGCAACCCCAUUUAUUUAUUAUUUAUUUAUUAUUAUUUAAUUUCUCUUUUUUCUAAAAUCACGUCCAAUUAUGAAGUUAAACAAGGUGAUUAGUUGGCUGGUCUUUGUGUAAUUCAACACAAUCCGCAGCAAAAAAAAAAAAAAAAAAAAAAACUAUGUUCAUAUUGAUCAACUUUAGAUUGCAAUUAAAUUAGGAGUUGUAGACAACAAAACAUAAUUAGGGUUUAUUGUGUUCAUGUGUAAGGUGUCUAAAGUUUGAAAAGAAAAACUUUCUAAAAAGGUUUUAUUUCAAACGAGAUGUCCUUUUUAAAUAUAUAUAUAUAUAUAUAUAUAUAUAUAUAUAUAUAUAUAUAUAUAUAUAUAUAUAUAUAUAUAUAUAUAUAUAUAUAAUUAUAGGGAUAAAAAGUUUAAUAUUUGUAAAUUGUUCAGAAAAGAUAAUCAUCAAAUUACUUUAAAAGAAUGUCUCUAUUUAUAUAUAAUCAGCUUUUUUUUUUCACUUUUAUUUGGCAGAAUCUAAAAGCAAAUUAAAAAAGGUGAAACAAUAUAGAUCAUACUAUGACUUGUGCUCAUUGAUGUAUUUUGGGACAAUAAUGUAAUUUACACACAUUGAUCAACUUAUGUACUUAGGACUAAUUCCUUGGGUUAAAUAUCAUUUUAUGUUCGUCCUAUAUAUAUUAUGAUCUCCAUAAUAUCAUAAAUGUUUUACACUUUACUCUCUUGAUGAAUAUAUACUUAGCUUUACUUUUUCUUUUUCCAUUUAGAAUGAUAUCAAUAUAUUACACUAAAAUUAUAGUGCAUCAAUAUAAUAUACUAAAAUUAUAGUGCAUCAUAAAAACUUAAAUACAAUAUAAUUAUAUAACAAAGUUAAACGUCUAUCGGUAAAAUGUUUAUCAAUCAGAUCAAAAUAUUGCAAAAAUAGUAAAACUUAAAACUAAUAACAAGUAUAGCAAUAUAUAUAUAUUCAAAUAUAUAUAUAUAUAUAUAAAAUGUCCCAAUCACUCAUUCAAAUCUAUCAAAUUCAUAGGCUAGCUUAUCACUUGUAAAGUCUAUUAGUAAAAGAAAUAUAUCGGUAAUAGACUUCUAUCACUAAUAUACUAUUAUUUACUAUUUGAGUCUAUCAUUGAUAGACUUAAUUUUUAAUAUACUAAUUGAAAAUAUAGCAAAAGUUACUUUUAAUCAUAAAAAUUGUUCUAGAAGCCCAUUAAAGACACCAAAUUUCAAGUUUCUGAUGUCUAUCAUCGCGAAUUACUUUUUUUUUUCUAAAGUCUACCAUUGGUACCAAACUAUCUCUAACAAGUCUUUAUCAUGGAUAUUUUUGUAGAACUAUUAUAAUUCUAUCAAGAGUUAGUACAAGAGGAUUAUAUCAGUUUAACAAUGAUAAACACUAUCACCGACAUUUUUAUAUCAAUGGUACUAUCAAAUAAAUAUAAUAGGGUAGCAGUGAUAUAUAACACACUAUUAUUGAUAGACCUCCAUGACCAAUUUUUAUUGGUCAAUCAAUGAUAAACUUUUAAGAUCGAUAGACUUCUAUUAGUAAAAAAACAUAUUAGCUUGAUUCCUACUCAUUGUUUAGUUUAUAUUAUAAUAUAUCUAUACAUUUUACAUUAAUCUCUUUAUCCACUAUUAUUUAGGUCGUUGGGUAGAAGUUUUUGAGGCGUGGAUAUAAACCUUUUAACCUUGACUAAAUAUUAUAGAUAUGAAUUGUAUUAGAAAUGGAAGAAAAAAAUUAAUUAAUAAAAAUAAAAAAGUUUAAAUUGACUUAGUUAAAAAGAAAAAUAAAACACACUAACAGUAAGAGUAGAGAUGAAACAACAAACCUCUAACUGGAUGCGAACAAUUAAAUGUAUCGUUAGCGGCUAAGUUCAAUUAUUAGGAGACAACUACUAUUAUAAUAAAUAUAUAUAUAUAUAUAUAAUUUGAAAAAGAAGAAAAAAGGGGUUAAGAAAACAUAGGUUUUUAUUAGACUUUCACUCUAUAAAAACUAGGUAGGAAAACAAGUUUGAUAAAAAUUCAAAACAUCCUAAAAGUUUUUACUGUAAAGACGACAUGAAAUUUAGUAACAUGACUUGCAUUAUUAUUAUAAUAAUAAGCUUCAUUUUCACACCAACUACAUGAAAAAGCAUUGUUUUUCUUUUGUUUUUUGGCAUAUAUAUAUAUUUUGGCCGACAACCAAAAUAAUAAUAUGAUCACUAUAAUCCCAAAAGCAUAUGGAAAUUGAAAUGACUUUAUUAAUUUGGUAUAAUUACGAAUAAGCAACAAUAAUGUACUUUGGUUGUACCACUUUCUAGAGAGAGAAACAAUUGCUAAGACAAAGUAGUUGACCUACACACAUAGAGUUUUUAUGAUGAACAGUUUACUAUUGUAUUAUAUAUUGUGACAUUCCCUAUUUGUGUUUCCAUUACCAUAUUUAUGAAAUCUAAAUCCCAACUUAAAACAAAUCUAAGUUUAUUUUAAUGUGUAACGAUGUGACUCUACCAAAUAUGACAAAUAACUUUUUCAUUUCAAACAAUUACUAAGUGAUAGGAUGUUGAUAAAUCAUGAUGGACCCUUUACCGUUUAUUAUAUAUACCAGACUUAAUAAAUAAAAAUAAAUAUAUUAAUUGGGACGAAAGUAAAUUUAAUAUCACAUCAUCUAUUUCCAUACUUUUUCACUUCCUUGCUCUUAUAUCAAAUGUACAAAACUAUCAUUUCCACUAUGACAACCCUUUUUUAAUAAUUCUUCAAGAUGUUAGAAUUUUUAUUUAAUAUUAAAUUUAUUUUUAUCCAUCAACUUAUUCUAUUACGUCAAAUAGUGACUUAACAUGAUAUCUGAUCAGGUGGCCCCGUGUUCAAAUUAUUAUUAUUUUAUUUUCUUUCUAUUUUUUUUAAACAAAAAAAAUAUAGAAGGUAGGAAUCAAGAGGUGCACUUGAGAAGUACUCGGCAAUAAAUAAAAAAGCAAAAUUAAGACGCUACAGACAAGCCUUCUAAUUGAUAGUUAUAAUUACAAAAAGAUGAGACAGACAAAUAAAGAUGAUAUCUCUACGCCAUGAGUGGGAGGAAGUGUUAGAUAUUUUUAUACAAUACUAUUUGAUUUUGGAUUUGGGCAAGUUGAUGGAGUGUUGUAUGUUUAUGUUAAUUGGAGUGUACUUAUAUUUUCUUCUAACCCUUGAGAAUGUAGUUAAAAAUAAAGAUAUCAUAUAUUCUUUUAACAGUUUAGAGAGCGAGAUGGAAUGAGUAGAAACAAUUGUGAAUUAAAUUGGAAGAAAGAGCAGUUAGAUGGAAAGAAAAAGAAAAGCCAUAAUGUGCGACUUUAUGUCGAAAAGUAGGGGAAAAAGAAGAGAAAAAAGAAUGGGAAAUUCCCCAUUUUCACUAUUUGUGUUUCUUGCUUUCACUUUCAAACACAGCAACUUCUGAUAAUUCAUUUGUUGUUAACUUUUACUAAACCCUAAACCAAAAAUUGUCUGUCCCUUUCCACUGUUUUAGACAUACUUUGUCGAGUGGAGUGCCCUAAAUUUAGGGGGUCACUCUCACUCUUCUCUGUAAUAUCAAUUCUAAAACUCAAUCUUAUCCCCUCCUCUUCAAUCUAAUAUAUCAUAACACAUUACACAUUUCUCCUUCUAAUUAUUGUUCGUUUUUCUUUUUCUCCUUUUUCCUCUUUUCCUCAUGUUCCACACUCUAAAUUAUCAUUUCUCUAACAAUUUUGACACCAUUCCAUCCUAGAUUUAAGUUAUGAGAGGUACGAUUAAUUUUAAUUAUAUCCACACACUUCAAAGUAUGAGGUUAACUCAGACUAUAAUUUGAUAUUAUAAUGACCAUUUUAUAAUAUUUUUCUUUUUUCUUUUCUUCAUUUACUUGUUUCUUGAUUUUUUAAAAUGAAAAAAUUUGAAGAUUUAUAUAUAUGUGUUCGAUAAUUCCUUUUAAUACAUGAGGCCGGACAUGAAACCUCAAGGUUGUAGUAUUAUAUGUCGUUGUUUCUUGUUUCUUGAAUUGAAAUAGACUUGUCACACGAUGUAAUGAAAUAAAAAAAAUUAUAAAGAGUUUAUAUAUAGAACUAUUUAAUAUAAUUUCAUGUCGAAAAAAACGGUAAAAAUAAGGAUAGUUGCAAAUUUAGCGAUUAGAUUCAAAAUAAUUAAAUAUAUAGCGACAUUUUAAAAAAAUUGUAAAUAUAGCAAAAUUUGUCAAAUUCUAUCAAUGAUAGAAGUCUAUGACUAAUAGACCAUGUUGUCAAUAUUAGGUAUAUCACUGAUAAACCCUACGAGUCUAUCAGCGAUAGAUUUUGCUAUAUUUGCAAUUUCUUUUAAAUUGUGUUAUAUCAUUAAUUAUUAUUCAUAAAAUGGCUAUCAAUUACAAUUAUCCUAAAAAAAAUUUAUAAUACAUUUUAGGAAAAUGAUUGAAAAUGGCAAAAUUGCUGAAAAUAUUUACAAGGUAUAAAGAAAUAUUAUAUUCUAUCAACGAUAGACACCGAUAGAAAUCUAUCAAUGUCUUUAAAUGCAUUGAUAGACAAGGAUAAGAGUCUAUCAAUUUCUAUCAUUGAUAUCAUCUGAAAAUUUGUCAUAUAUUUUGUAAAUAUUUUUGUUCAUUAUACUAUAUUUCAAAAUGUCUUUAUAUUUUAUCAUUUGAAUAUCGUUAAUGGAUUUGAUAUGCAAUGUUUUCUCUUAGAAAUAGCUAUAAAUAUAGCAAUUAGAUUCAAAGCAUCAACAUAUGUAGUAACAUUUGUUAAAUAAUUGCAAAUAUAGUAAAAUUUGUCAAAAUCUAUCAGAGUUUAUCACAAAUAGAAGUCUAUUAUUAAUAGAUUUUUCUAUAUUUACAAUUUUUUAAUAUUAUUAUAUAUUUAAUUAUUAUUUCCAAAAUUGCUAUCCAUUAUAAUUAUCUAUUUCUCUUAUCUUAAUUCAUUUAGUUCGAGGGAUGUAGAACUAUAUAUAUGAAUAAGUCCAAAUUAGACGUGUUAAAAAAUUGUCUAACAAAAUUUUCAAUGACCAAUAAUUUAUUGCACAAUAUAAUAGAUAUUUAUCUGUUAUGACUUACGAGGAAAAUUCAUAGCUCGUUUUCAAAUAUAACUAGAAUAUUUACUAGUAUACUAAAAUAUCAAAGAUUCUAUCGAUGUCUAUCAUUUAUUUGAAUUUGAUAUUUUAAUAUAUUUAUAAAUAUUUUGAACAAUUUUAUAUUUACAAUAUUUUCUUCUUAAAUUAUCAAAUAUACUUAUAUUUAUUUAAUUCAAUAAGCUUUAUUUUUCUUUUCUUUAAAAAAUGCACAUGUUUUUCAUUAAGGGAGUCAUGAAACAGGAAAUAAAAAUGAGGCAGAAAAACCUUCUUUUUUCUUUGAAAAUUAAUUGUAAACAUCUUAUUACCUUUUUUAAGAAACAAACGUUAAAAUCCCAUGAAAAAAAUAUUAAAAAUAACAUAGAUUUAAAAAGGAAAUAAUAACUAAAAUUUCAUUCAUGAAAAUAAGUGAAAAAAAGGAGAAUAGAAAUAAGAAAUAUAUAAAAGAAAUGAAAAAAGAAAAAGAAUAAUAAAUUAAAAAAUAUAUUUUUUAUUAAAAAAGACUAGGAUGAAAAGAGAAACAGAAAAUUUAGUAUAGGUCCAACGGACUCAAUCCCCCUCCACUUUAUAUAAUAUGUAUUCAUAUGUGUGUAUAUAUGUUAUGGUGUAUUUUUCUUUUCGCCCCUUCGUUGACAUGGUGUCUUUGGCUUCUUAGUUGCUUUUGUGUCUUGCGAAUUUCUUGCCUUAUUGGUUUACUUGUUACUUGGCUCUUUCCUUUUGUGAGGCGUCUUCCUUGACAUGGUUGGUAUUUAUAUGUUUGAACGAGGUGGUGUUAGGACUAGCCAAAUAUGUGUAAGAACUAAUUUUUGCAUAUAGAAUUGAUAUUCUUCCUAUGAUAGAAGUUUUUGUCAAGAUUAAAAACUUGGUUACGUGGUUCGUAAGGAACAAUGAGAGGGUAUGUAGGUGAAGAUUUUGCAAUAUUCGUUUGAUUAAGGGGAGCCUUGAUCAUUCAACCCACUACGAGAACAUCAAGGUUGGGGGAGCAUAUAACUUCGUGUGAAAAGUUAUGUACUUCUUAAACAUUAUUUAAGCAUUGUUCUUAUCCACAUGAGAAACUUUUUUAAUAUUAGUGAUUAUAUAUCUUUCAUCCAAGCAUAUAGACUUCCAGACGUAGGUAUUUUUUAAAUGUUUUGUGAUGAAAGGGUUGAAAAGAAAUCCAAAGGACUAGCUUUUCAAGUCUUCUCAUCUAAGGAUCAAGUGCUGAAAAAGAAGACAAAUUCAUACGAGAAUUUAGCUGAAUCCAUAUCUCUCCUGGCAAAGAAGUUUGGAAGAGCUCUUAAGAGAUGGGAUAAGAGAUUAGACCCAAGAGGAAAUUAUGUCGACCCUUAUGUCAAAAAUGUUGGUAGCAGUGGCGGGAACAAGUCGCUCAAAUCUAAAAAAAUCUUUUGAUCAAGGAGGCAAUCUCAAUCAAAAUUGGAGUAGCAACCAAACGAUUAAAAAUGAAUCUAGAAGAUGUUGAGAAUGCAAUAGGUUCAAACAUUUUCAUGUUAAAUGUCCUAACUACUUACGGAAACAAGGACAGUGGUAUUUUGUCAUGCUAUCUGAUGAAGAGACUCAUUCAUGUAUUGAUUCGGAUGAUGAAGUUCAUGCCUUAAUAGAUAAACUUGUUAUUCAUGAUACAUGUUAAGCUUCGAUUGUUGAAGAAUCUAACUCUGCCAAGGUUGGUCCUUCUGAUGUUUCCUUAAGGAAGAAAGUUUGUGUGAGACUUUGGUCGCACUUUGACCUACGCGUUAAAACUAUACGCAACAAGAACUAGUCACAUAUUAAAAUUGUGUGCGAUGGAAACUAGUGACUGAAAAACUUGCAGGUAAUCUGCAUAUCACGUUCUAACUAUGUGAUGAGAAGGAGUUGUUCAAUAAACUAUGAGCCGAUGUGAGCUUCCUUCACCAUGAAGUAGUUGACAUCAUAAGGUCGGUGAAUUGAUUUGACCUUAUCGUCCAACUAAGUUCAGGAUAAGAGGUGGCAGUAACACAUGGUGCUUUGAUAUUUGAUGAUUUUUAGUGCCAACAAAAGUAAUCAUUCUGGCAUAGGAAGCUUCAUUGGAGAAACUUAAAAAUAUGUGAGGUUUGGUAAUUUGAGAAUUAUUUUUUGAAGCAAUUUCAAAGAGAUUUGGGAGCUAUCGUGAAGUUAAGAUUCAGAAAGGAAUUCUUGGCUAAGAGCUCACAAAGGAGGCUAACUUAUUUUGAAUGGUUUCUUCCCAAAAUGAUUUUAAAUCAAAUGAAUUUCUAUUAUGAUGAAAUCUUGGUAAAUUCCUCUCAAUACUUAAGUUCAUUGAUUUCUAUUAAGUUUCUCAACAUCUUAAAAGUAGAUUUUAUUUACAAUUGAAUUGGAUUUAAAAAUGAAUUUGAAUGAUCGUUGCGAAAUGAUUUUGGCACCCUCUGCGAUAAGAUUUCCUCACACUUGCUUUUGUAUUCUGAUGUGGGGUGCUCUAUUCUUGUUGUGUGUUCUGGAAUAGGAUGCCUCAUAUUUUCUUUAUGCGUUCUAGUAUGUGAUGUCUUAUACUUGCUUUGUGUUCUGGUAUAAGAUGUUCAUUGCUUGCUAUGUGUUCUAGCAUUGGAAGACGCAUUAUGUAUAAUGGAAUUGAUAGAAAUUAUUGUUGUUGCUUUGAGAAAACUCCACAUGCAUGGCCACAAAAUCUGAGGAGGGUACAAAAGUCCUUAUAUGAUUUGACGUUAUGAAUUGUAAAGUGCGUUAUGCGAAAUGCCUUUAUGUGAUACGAUUUAUUAUAAAUGUUUUGCAAGGAAAUAGUCUUUAAAUGAUUUAUAAAUAUUUGUUAAUGAGAUUUGAAUCGUGUAGCCUGAGACAUUGAAAUGACUUGGUUGAACUCAUAGUUUUAUUAUUGAAUUGCAUACCUAUUUAUAUCGCAUGGUUUUGCAAAAAGAAUUGCAAUGCGUGAUGGCGAAAAUUUAUUUAUUACAUGUGUUGGUGAAAAACCCCAGUUAGACUCUUUUGGUCUAAUCCUUCAAAUGUUUUAUUUUAUUCCCCUCCCUCCACCUCCCUCCCACAGGCAGCAAAGGACAUCUAAUGUUUAACUUGCCAACUUGAACGCUUGAUGUGCCAUAAACGUGUCGCAUCAUCCUGGUAGUUUAUUUUAAUAAUUUUAUUUAAUGAAUGUAAGGAAAUAAAAAGUAUUUUUAUAUUUUUAUACUUAUCAAAACAAAAAUAUUUACUAUACUUGACGUUAAAAAAAAUGUCAUGUAAAAUAUGUACUAUAUUUGACGUUGGAAAAGCGUCAAGUAAAAUCUAACGUAAAAUAAUUUUAAAAUCGUAAAAAUUUUGCUUUCUUCAAACUAUAUUUGACGUUUUUUUUGCGUCAAGUAAAAGUUCGCUAUACUUGACGCGAAAAAAAACGUCAAGUAAAAGCUAACGUAAAAUAGUUCAAAAAAUUAUGUGAAAACUCCUCGUUUUUGAAACUAUACUUGACGUUUUUCCUUUAAAAUGGUCAAUACUUUACGUUUUUAAAAAAACGUCAAGUAUGUAAAAGUGUCAAGUAAAGUAGAUCUUGCAGUAAUGCAAUGAAUCAUCAUGUUAAAGUGAAUAAAAUUUAUUAAUAUGUUCAAGAAAAAGUUAAAUGCAAGGACUAAAUAAUGAGAUUUUUAAAUAAAAUAGUAGCCAAUAGUUUUUAACAUAUAUACAAGUACGUGUUUAUAAACAUAUGAUUGUAAAUCAUGAUAAUGAAAUUACUCUUAGUGUUAGCGAUCAUGCAAGUAAAAUGAUAUAAUGAUUAAAUAAUAACAUAUGAUAUAUUUAUUUUCUAAAAUAAAAAACUUUUCUUUUGACAAAUAUUUCCAUUCUUUAAGUUUAUAUUUGCAAAAAAAAAAAUAAUCAUUAACGUUAAAACAUUAUUAGUUAUUUAUUGAAUGAGGCAACAAAAAUACCUUAGUAAAAGUGUGACUUCUUAGGAAGAAAUCAAAUUUUACUUAACGCAAUUUUUAACCAGAUAAAAUGGAUAACAAUAUGGUUAUAUGAAAUGAAAAAAUUAUUAGAUAAAACUCAAUCCAAAAGUUGUAUGAAAUCGUCAAAAUUAAUCAUUUAUUCAUAGCAUAUAGUGAUUUAAGAGCUUCUCUUUUCUAAUUAACUAGUCAAAUUUGUUUGAUGGCUAUCAAGUAAAAUGUUCAAAUUGAUAAAGUUAAAACUUUUUAUUAUUUUCUUAGAUUGUUUUUUUUUUUUACUUUGGAAAAUUUUCCCCUUUCCAAAAUAACUUUCAAAACAUUCAAGCUUUAAUAAGAAAAAAAUAUGCAUGUUGUUUCACAAAAAUAAGUUGAAGAAAAAAAAUGAAAGUUACACAAUAGGUUUUCUUUUUUGCCAAAUUCUUUUUUUUUCUUGAAAAAGAAGAUUAGUGCUAACACAAAGUCAUAUUCUUCUUAUACGAUCAUAUUUCUUUAGUAUUUCAAAAAAUCAUUUUUAGUAUUUCAAAGGAUCAUUCUCAAAACUUUAGAAUUUAAAGUUAAUGUUAUUUAAUCCUAACAUGAUUUUUUUUAUUUAGAUUUAAAUAGUUAAUAUAUCAAGAAAAUUUAUUAAAUGAUACUAAAUAUUACUUGAUAUAUAUUUUUGUUUAGGAAAAAGAAAAGUUGAAUAAAUAUGUUUUUCAAAAAAAAUUUAAAAAAAAGUACUAAAUAUACGAAGAAAAGUUAUUGAAUUCUCUUAAAAUAUAUAUUUUUUAAAUAUGAAAAAAAAAUUAUAAAACUUGAACAAAAUUACGAAGAUGUUAAUUGAUUAAGAAAAAUCAAAAGUGGCAAAUGAAAUGUUGUUAAGUUUUAUUAAAAAAAUUUAUGCAAUUGUGAUAGUUGAACCAACUUAAGUAAAAAAACCAAUCAAUGAAAUUAAAAUGAAAUAUAUGUGCACAUGCAUGUUGUAAUACACUAGUAUAAUGCAUAAAAGAUUUAAAACUGAGAUUAAUUCUAAAAUCCCUAAACGAUAAAGGUUCCCAAUUUGGUCAAAGUCAUAUACGACGAAUUGACCAAAUUGAUUGAGAAUUUUUCGUGUGCCUGCACGGAAGCAUAAGCUUCUCGAAGGUCAACAUUACUUUGUUCUCAAUUCUAACUUAUGAAGGUAAAGCCUGGGUAGGAGGCUCGUGAUUGUAUGUGUAAUAAUUAAAUGCACAAUAACUACACACAAUAAACUUAGAAUAAAAUUAAAGAAUAAAAUAAUUCAAGAUAAAAGAGAAAAUUGCCAAACUCUCGAGGUAAAGCCUCAUGUCCCCCGCGGAGUCGCCACAUGCCCGAGACAACGUGGAGCGGCUAACGUCCUCAAAAGAGUUUGUUUUAAAAGAAAAUAGAAGUCGUCGUCAAUCUUUUUUAUAGUAUGAUUGGACAUUGAAAUAAAGUAAACAAUUUCUUUAAAAAAAUGGUAUGCAAAAAAUAGAGUUGAGUUCGAGAGUCAUUUGUGUGUGGAAAAAGGUAUUAGCACCCCACAACACCCAUUUAGAAAAAACGGUGGUCAAAUUUUAAAUUUUGAAUUGAAAAUAUUUUUUUAUUUAUUUUAAAACUAAUGUCUUAUUUCACCACUCAAGACUACAAUAUUUGAAGCAAUGAUCUCAUAUAAUAAGUGGAAUAAUAUUUCAUUAAUUAGAUUAUAUAUUGAAGGAAAUUUCUCAACUUAAGAAAAUGAGUAAUUAUUACAAUUUCUCAAAAUUCAUCGUAGUAGCUAGUCUUGGAAUAUUUUUUUCUUAAAACAUCGAUUAAAUUUAUUUUUUCUUGUGAUCACAUCUUGGACUUUCAAAGAUGUGAUCCCUCUCUUACCUUAUGAAUUCUAGAAAAUUGGACUUCCAAAUUUUCUAGAUUCUAUCAUAGGAUUUUAUUUAAAGAAAACAGUUAAACUAUUAGAAAAGAUUGAUUUAAGAAACUUUAUGAAAUCAUAGAUAAAAAUUUGAAUGUUUUGAAAAGCAUAAAAAAAUUUAUAACAUUAUAGACAAAUUUGCUAAAUGAUUAAAAAUAAUUUUUAUUUUAAAACAUAAACAAAUUUUAAUUGAAAGGAUUUUUAAAACAUUAAAAAUUUUAAUACAAAGAGUUACAUUUAAGUGCAUUGAACAAUAAUUAUUAUUAUGAUAGUAACGUGAAUAAGUAAAAAAAAGAAAACAUAAAAUAAAUUAAGGAAAGAAAAAAUGAAUGAAUAAAGAAAGAAAGAAUUGGAAUGAGUUAGAUUAUUUUACUUGAAGAUUUGUCUAAAUUUAAUUGGAGAAUUUGAUCUGUGGAUUUUUUCCAACCUAGGUUGAAUUGGUUCCAACCUCCUUCAUUGGUACGAUUGAAAGCCUAAGUAAUUAAUUGUUUGAUGUUGGUUGUCAAACCAUUAAUUCAAUUACGUUUAUAUUUAGGAUUUUGUUUGAUUGGAAGUUGUGACUGUUAGGAACAAUUUUUGUUAAGCAAAUCGCUAGGUAAGAGAUUCUACUAUUAGACCUUCGACAGUAGACUAAAGGGCUUGCAUGUAUUUUUCCCUUUUUAUGCAUUAAUAUAGCUAGGAUGCAUAAUGUGACUGUUAGGGAUGACUGACAUAGAUGGCUACAUAGAUGACCGUUAUGUAUGACUGAGAUAUAUAUGGCUGAGAUAUGUUACGACCGAGAUAUGUUAUGAAUGAGACAUGCUAUGACUUAUAUUAUGAUUGAAAUAUGUUAUGACUGAGAUAUGAUAUUCAUGAUAUGCUACAUGUUAUAGGCUAUGGUGUUCUAUUAAUUUUGUCUGUUGGGAUCGUACCCAUAUGGGUGUCCUUCGAGAUCACCACCUAUUUAUGCUUGUGUGGCUAACUAUUUAUGUUUGUGUGGUCACUUUCAACCCAAUUCUCUUAGGCUUUUCUUCAGGAUCAUCGAAAAGCAGAUGUGUUCCUUUAGGAUCACUAGAUAGCGUGUGUUUGGGAGCACGAUAGUUAUGUGGUACUUUCUUACAAGACACUAACGGGAAGUUAACAGACACCUAACGGGACUAUUAGUGGGUCUCUUACUUAGUAUAUGUUUAUACUCACUCUUUCUAUGUUUAACUUUUCAGGCAAAAGUAGAAGUAGAGGAAAGUUGGCGAAUGACAAAAAGUGAUCGUAGUUUGCCAUAGGGAAAAGCUUAUGAUUGUUAGCCUUUGAGUUUUCAACAUUUUGAUUUACAAUACUUUAUUUAAAAUUUUAGAACUCAUGAGUAUUCUUAUGAUUUUAAAUAGGGUCUAAACUAGUAUUUGACCUUUACUUUUAUUUCUCCAUAAUCUAUUUAUGAUUUAUAAAUAAGUAUUUGAGGAUUUUAUCGAAAGAUUUAGUGCAUUCUUUUAUUUAUUUAAAUCUUUUUUAGAAAAGCUUUAUUUAAUUUAAUAGUAAUGACAUCAGCUUAGCAUAAAGAGUUGAAUCGUUACAAAAGGUCAUAUUUGUCUGUAAUUUUUCAACUUUAUGGCACACCUACGAACAAAAAUCAAAUAUAUUUUGUUUUCCCAGAGAGGUAUAUACAUACAUCAUUUACUUGUGCACCUAAAAAAACUUUGAAUGGCAGAUAAAAGAUAAUACUUAUCUUGGGGAUGUUAAUUAUAACGUAGCAUUUACGUCUCUUCAUACAUUAGUUAGAGAUGAUAGUGGUUGCUCCAUGUAUAUCACAAGAGAGAGAAGAAUUUUCUUAACUGAUCUAAAGUCAUGUGUUCCUGAACAUGAUAUUUUUGGUGAUGGUGGCAAAGGAAUAGUUCAAUAUCUUGGACUUCCUUCUCUCAAUGCUAUUAUUAUUGUGGAAGGCUUACCAAUGUUAAUUUCUCAAAAGGAAGAUGUCUAAUGACUAAUAGUGAUAAGUUCCAUCAUAAAAGGAACACAAUCCUAUGACAAUUGUUACUCUCAACUUCUAAUGUUUUUAAACUUGGUUGCAACAUCCCCAACCACAGUGAAGUUCAAUGAAAUUGUGCUUUCUUCCCAAAAUGUAUAUCUGUCCUAUAGAAACUAUAAAAAAAAAUUAACUAGGAAAAUCAUAAUAGGUCAAGUUAAUCUUUAGAAACAGAGUGAAUACUUGUCAAUGUUCUCAAAUAUAUGACUUUAAAACAUGUGUUGUUUAGAUUACUAUCCUCACAAAGCUUGUCAUUGGUUGUGCUAAAAUAUUUGUUGAAUCUCGUGUGAUGUGUGAUGAGAUUAUUGAUAAUGUUGCUCUUGCGAAAUUUGUGGGUAAAAUCAUUGUUGUCUCAUCUAAAAUCUUGAUGAAGGGUAAGUCAUUUUAUUCUAAAAAGGUUACUAUUACUGUUUUUGUUGACGUCAAUUGUGUUUUUUAGGUUAAUAUAAAAGUUAUUAUUGUUGCUUCAACAAGUUGGACGAUUAUUCUGAUAAUGUGUUAAAGGAUGACAUUGUUUCUUUUAAUGUAUCUUCUAGUGUUGUUUCUAAAAAUUGAUCUUCUGAUUUUGUGGUGUCUCAUAAUUUGUUGAUAGUAUUCUCAUUGAUCAAAAUGUUGUGAGUUGUAAUGGUCAAGAUGAGAAUGGGUGUAAAGAUUUUUAAGUGUUGAAUGUUGUGCCAAUGUAUCAAUACGAAGAAGGAUGACGUUGAUUUUGUUAUUGAUAAAACAGUUUUGGAUUUGAGCAUGAAAUAUGUAGAUCCUAAGGGGCUUUAAGGAGGUUAGUAUAUCUUAUAUUCCAACCGUUAGUCAUGUUGAUGUUGAAUAUGUUAGAAAAAGAAUUGUGGCUAAGAAAGAGGCUCUUGAUCUAUCUCAUAAUAUUGUUUUAAAUAUUGUUCUUUAUGGAGUUGCAUUAGAGGAUUCGGGCUUUUGAAUGCCUUUAUUUGGUUUGACGGAUGUUUAAUUGUUACGUUGUUAACUUCGGCUGUUUUUUUGUAACUUAAUAAACAAAAGGGAGAGAAUGAAUGUGGUUGUGUGUUUAAUGGUUGUUGGUUUGUCUAUCAGUUUUUGUCUAAUGGUUAUUGGUUCGUUUAUAAAAAAGACGUGGUUGUUGGUUUUUGUAUGGUUUUAAAUUUUUCUAAUAGUUGUUGGUUUGUUAAUUAAAGACGUUGAUUUGUUUUGCCUUAAAAAAUAACCACAUUAUUACUACAGUUGAUCCGCUAAUUUUAUUAAAGGCAAAACUUGAGUCACAGUUUGUUCAGAUUAUACUUUCUAUAUAUGAAAGCAUGAUUUGUACCCUUCAUUGAAUCUUUAUUAUUAUGCAAUAUUUGCUUUCCUUAUUUUUCUGUAAAUAAUAUUUAUUCUUUCCAUAUAUUUUUCCAAAGAAAGUCACAUUUAUAUGGUGCUCUUAUUCAUUUUAAGGGCUAGCUGCACAUUAGAAAAGUUUAUACAUUGAAAGUUUUAAGCUUAGGAAUUGUCUAAUAAGCCUCAACCUUCUUGAAUUGUUCUUGAAAAUUCUUGUACUUAUCAUUGAGAUUUUUAGUUUGGUAGCCAUUGUAGAACUCAUAAGGAGUUAGAUUUAAUAUUGUAUUUAGGGGGAGUUUAAGUUGAAACGUUGAAGAACAAGCUAUAGGGAAGUCAUUAAAGAUGAAGACUUUGUGAGAUAAGUACUUUUGUUGUAAUUGCUAAACUUUUUAUAUAGUGAACUUUCAUUUCAUCGGACACGCUGCUCCCAGAUGUAUGAUUUUGCACCAAACUGAAUUAUCAAUCUUUAUGUCGUUAUUUUUCUGUUUGCUCCUUUUAAUUGCCUACUUAUGGUACGUAUUUUCUUUGACAUUGUGCUUAAAGUUGUGUACAAUGCAAGUGUCCUCUUAUUAGAUCCACUUGCAGUUUACUGAAUUUUGUAUAAUGUUCUUGGGAAAAAGCAACAUGUCGUUUGUCAAGUCAAUUCUUCAAAAACGUCUUGAUAUAGCUGAUAUGAUCUCAUAAUAUCCUUUGUUGUAAUUAUGAUACUUCCACCUUUUGUUUGUAGAGCUUUCCUCUAACUCAACUAUGAUUGAAACCUUCAAAUUCAAGUCGGGCCGUAAUGAUCAGUAAAAACAUAUAAAAUAAAAUUGAGAAGAAAAAAAAAACAACAAUAUUAGAUUCCAUGAUAUCCACUCCACAAUAACAUUCGGUUCUAUUUCGUUCAUAUCAUAACCAAAAAAUUGCAUGAAAAAUCUAAACAUACUUUUUCACGAGAAAAGUUCAAAUUUUCAAAUCAUCUACAUGAAAAAUGUUAAAAUUAUUCCCAUUUUUUUAGUUCAAUAAAUUCUUUCUAAUUUAGAUUCGCACGAAAAUGUUACAUAUCAUUUUAAUCCAUUUAUUUUAAUAAAUAUGCUGUUAAGUCAUAACCUAAACAAAUGUGAUCAGCUAGGCAAUUAUUGGUAAAAGAAAAUUAAAAAGUAAAAAACAAUUAUCAUCCUAAACAAUUUUCGUUAAAUAAUACCUAAUAAAAGUUUUGAAAAAUUUGAGUAGACUUGAAGCUUUUUGAAACAUGAUAAAUUAAUAAUGGCUUCCAUAUUAAUUUGUCAUGUUAGGGUUUAGGGUUUAGCCUAAUUUAGGCUAAAAAGUAUAAGUAGAGGUAGCAAAGUUUUAGGGGGGAAAUGACAUAUGGUGCCAAAUUAGGGUAGGAAAGUUGAGUUAUAAACUUUAGGGAAAAAAUAAUGAAAAUAAAAAAUUGAAAGUUCAUGCAUCUCAUAAGAGCAUGAGACGUGGAAAACCACUUAGAUUGGGGAAAAAAAAAAGAAAAGAUAAAAGGGUAAAUCUUUAUGAAAAGUUGAAACCAAAUCUUGUUUCAAAUCAAAAGCAUAUAUAAACAGUAAAGAAGAUCUAAAUUAUGGGAGUUGGAUUCUUUUUUUCUUUCAUCACCCUUCAUGCCCUCACUCAUCAAAACAAUUGUAUUCUCCACCUUUUUAAGAUAUCAUUACCAACCCACCAACUAAAACAAAUAAAAUCUUCAACCAUUUUAUUAUUAUUUUCUUUUUUUAAUUAGAGAAAAAAACUACUUUAAUAACCUCUCAUAGGCUUAACCUUAAUGAUGUUUUACAUAUGUUUCUUCUUUCUUUUCUAUAAUAGCUAGAUUCAUUUAUUUAGUAAUGGUUUAACCCGGAUUUGUUAAGAUUUUGGGUGUGUGUGAAUGUAGUGAGAUCUAAUUAUUUAUUUAUUUAAACUCAGUUUUUGAAUCAACUCAACAUUCCAAAUCCUCUCAUUCAUUCGUUUAGUUAUUUAAUUCUUUCUUGUUCAUCUCACAUUAUAUAUAUAUAUCAAAACCACUUAACAAAAUCUCACAUUAUAUGUCUUUAUUCUCUUUUGGAGAAAUAUUUUUCUUCAAAAGUAUAAAAGAAAAAUGUUUUUAGAAUCAUAGUUGAGAAUCAAAAUCCUUCCCAACUUUUUCAGCAAAUUAUGCAUGGAGUUGUAUACUUCAAAAAAAAUGUAGAAAUGCCAGCUUAGAUGAAUGAAAAGCACAUACACUUCCUAAUUAGGAAAGAAAAGAAAUGCUAUUUAAGAAACACUUAGAAAAGAAAAUCAUGAUUAAUGGUGUUGCUUCACCUCCUAAACUUAUUGUAAUUAAUUAAUAUAAGAAAACAGCAUUUUAGGGUACAAAUUAGAGAGAAAAUUAAUGAAGAAGAAAAUAAGGAAAUGAUUGACUUAGGUUUAGGCCACAAAUCACAUGCCUAGUACAAAGCAAAAUGAGUUUGUCGGCAACUUUUUGAACCCUAUUGUGUCUUAGGCACAUAACAAAGUUACAUGCAUGAUAACAUAUAAUUAAAUAUAUAUCUGUGUAUAAAUAUUAAAAACAAAGUUGAAAAUCAUGACAAGAUGGAUCAUAAAAGAAAAAAAAAAUCAUGAUUUAAGAAAGUUGAUUGGGUAAAAAGGCUAAAAGGGAAGUGUUUUGUGUUGUGUGUUGAUUUAUUACAAAGCAACAAGGGAUACCUCUAAAUUCCAUGAGAGUUUUUUAAGAAAAGUUUAUUAGAUUCCUUAAUUGAUUAAUUAUAUUAAUUAAUUCUUUAAAAAAGAAUGAAUGUGUGUUUUUGGUUUCCCAAUCCAAAAGCAAGAUGUUGGCAUGAAUGAAAAGUAAAUAUUUUAUAUAAGUUUAUGAGAGAGGAUGAAGGGUUUUGUGUCUAAUUAAAAUGUUGAAAAGGGUAAUAAAUUAAUUAGCAAAUUAAAGUUAGACUAAAUAAUGUUUAGGUAAAACACUUGGAACCCCAUGGCUAUGUGUCCCCUCACUGGCCAUCUUGUGGGCCUUAAAUGCCACAACCAAUAACCCUCUUGACCCAAAGCCAUAACAAUGCAAGUUCAAAAAUUUUAAAUUUUUUUUUUUUAAAAAAAAAGACCCUUUCAACUUGGGAUGAUGAUUGCACUCAUAUGGGGUAGGGGCAUACUAAUCAACCUUUUCACUUUUAUUCAAGCUUUUUUAUUUUCUUUUUUUGAGGGGUUUGAUCCCACAGUUUCAAAGAAAAAUGGUAUAAGACAAUAAGAUUGAGGGGUUUUUUUAGGAUAGAAAGAGAGAGUUUGGUUGGGUAGCUACCAAGAAAUGUGGGGAACAUAUUCAUGUAUAAUUUGAAAACCAACAAAAUGUUUAAUUUAAAUUCCAAAGGGUCAGGUGUGUGGGUGUAGAGUUGGACUUUGUUUGUUCUGCAUGUGUUUGGAUUUUUUCUUUUUUUUUUUCUUUCUUUUGUUAUUAUUAUUAUUUUUAUCCAAAGGGUAUUCUACUUUCUCUUUCCAUCAUUGCAAGUCAAAUCAUCAAAAAAAAAAAAUAUUCUCUUUUGACCAUACAUAUAUAUAAAAAUGCGUAUACUAUUCAAAUGAGUGAGCGACCGUUAGUUUUGAAAAUGAAUGUACCAUUUUUUAUGCAUUUCAUUUUAUUUUAAACAAACAAAAGAAAUAUUUAAAAAAAAUAAGAAAAGUUUAUCGCUUAACAAAUCGUGUUUGAACAAUCCGAUACGAGAUAUACAGAGAUAUGUGAAGUUAAUAAUACGUCUAAGUUUUUUUCGGAUUUAUUUGCAUGUUUUUGUCAUUCACCAAUUAUAAAAUAUAAAAUAGUGUCAUUCAUUUUAUAUGGUUGAUUGCUUCACCAAACAAAACUCUAUUGUGUGUCAUGUUAUUUUGUAGCAUAGAAUUUCCCUUUUGUCAUAACAUAAAUGUUGGGCUAUAAAGGUGCUGACUGUCUAAGUAGUGUUGUACACAUAUCAUUUCAAACACAGGUUUACUAAAUAUAUUAGAUUCUGUUGUUGCAUUGUUUCUUUAUUGAUAGGAACUCAUGGUUGUAAGUUGGGGUUACGUAAUUUGGUUAACUAUGAUCAAUCAACUUGAUUUUUGGUAAGGAAACCACUUUAUUUUUGUUUGGUUUUAAUUUUGCCUAAAAAGUUGAGAUACAUCUCUCGGUUGACAUAUACGUAAUAUUUGCACAAUAACAUAUAACAUAGAUCAUAUCUGUCAAGAUUUCUAGAAAUGAAAACAAUACAAGAAUAGAUUGUAUAUAAUGAAAAGUAAAAGUUACAAUAUAUAUAUAUAUGUAAUAGAUGAAAGAGAUGAAUAGUAGUGUAUUUGGUGGUGAAAGGUGAGGAUAUUUGGUCCCAUUUGGAAAAAGGAAUCUAAAAGUGAGUGUGUUGUCUCCCCAAAAAUUAAACCCCAUGAAGAAUUGGAAAGUGAUUUCCAUAAUUGUCUUUCUUUAACAAAUUUUUUUCUUUAGGCCCCCACACUUCCCUCACCGAAACAGAAGUGGAUCAGCACAUCACUCUCCUAUAUAUAUAUAUAUAUGAAUUAUAUUUCUCCUCAUUAUUAUGAUAAUGUAAUGUUAUGGGGUUUCAAAUUACUUGAACAUCCAAAUUACCUACUACUUACUGGCCUAAUUUAAACAUUAGAACCCCUUAGGUUUUCAAUAUGCUAUCUCCCUUUCACUAAUUUGAAAGACAAUUUCAAUUCCUAUUCAAUUGACUACAAAAAAAGGUUCCCCUUUCUUUCAAAAGUAGAUUGGCAGUUUUAUCUAUUGCUUGAAAGUGUCUGGAGGGAAAGGGAUGAUGCUAUUGCACAUUUUUUGCUUUUUAUCUUCUAGGCUUUAUAAAUUGCUAUUAAUGUUUCUUUUUCAAUUAUGUGUUCGUGCUUUAAAUUUAAAAUAGUCUAAGGUUGUUGAAGAUAUUUGCUCACAUAUCUUUUUGACUUCAACAAUUUGUAUAGAAGAAUCAAACCCUCAAACCUCUAAGUAAUGACGUAUCUUAACCAACUGAUUGACAAUAAUCAAUCAAGUUGGCAAUAACUAGAGUAGUAAUCAAGUAUGCAACAAUGCUUAAAUUGUAACUUGAGUAGUGAAAACCCAAUUGUUCAACUCCGGUCUUUUUUUUUUCUUAGUUGGUUCAUUUAUGAUUUGUAAGAACUAAUGAGCAAUAUAAAGGUGAAUUCUACACGUGUAUGUUAUCAAGAAUAUAUCUCCAUAAGAUUAAUUAGCACGAUUCCAUCAAAUAAAUUUAACUUCAAAUUUUCAAAACCAAAUUACACAAACCCAAUCCUGGAAUCAACCAUCUGUUAUAUCAAUAACUUGGUAAAUCAGACUACAUUUAGAGAACUUUUGGAAUACAAAGAAGUUCAGAACCUGAAGUCGUACUACUGUUUCCUUCCUAUUCAAGAAGUCAAUCUAAUAUUAAAGAGGAAUGAUUUAAGAGAAUGAGAUCACGCCUAGGAUGCUUUCCCUUUGAUAGGGUUAUCUCUUUGGGAAUCCAAUCGAGAACAUGCUGAAAGAAUAAUCUCUUGAACCUACUUCCAUUAAGUUUUAUCUGAAGAUAUAAUUGAAUCUAAAAGAAUGAUCAUGGAGGGGCACAAGGUGAGAACAUUUACAAAAAUAUCUUUAAUCAUUCUCAUCAUUUGACAAAAUGUAGAAUGACAUUCAACAUUCAUUAUAUUGUCCUGAUUUCAGUAGAAGGAAAAAUCUAAGAACAAUCAAGACAUAAAUAAAACAAUCACUGGAACACUGAGAUCUUCCCAUUCCAACUGCACGAGGCGAUUACAUUAGGCAAGGUCGGGUGGAUGGCAAUAUCUAUGCAGGCCUGUUCAGAUGCUUUUAGUUUAUGUAUAAGCAAGGAGGAUUUAUAAUCAUAAAAAUAUAUAGAGCCAUCUGAAGACCCAGAGAUGAUUUGCUUGGCAUCAAGGCUGAAGUUACAUUUUAUUGGAAAGCCUGAGACUCCAUGACUUUCAUACCUCUUGUAUUUGUCUAACUUGAAAGGUGGAUUUAGAGAGAAUAUUGCAAUAUAACCUCCAUUUGAUUGGGCGAUAAAAGCUGGAUCAGAGGGGUGACAUCUCACAGAUGGACAAGUAUAGGCUUCCAUAUAAACCUAUUAUGUCACUUUCAAUUAGCUCUUCUGUAUUUCAAACAUGCAUAAUUAAAGUGGGGGGAAAAGAAAACAAAAGAUUACCUUAGGCACCUAAAUGUAUAAAAUAGGUAUCCCUCUAGUUACCACAACAACUGAUCACUCAUGGUAUUAAAGUAAUAACUAUUUAUAUUAGCCACACAGCAGUAUUUGCAAUUAAUUUCAAUUAUGUUUUAUUAACAUGCGGAGGGUAUUGGAUGUAUCUUUUUAAUUAAAAACCACUUGGAAUGAUGGGACAUAAUUAGGUAACAUCAGGGUUUGCAUAAUGUCAAGACCAAAGAUUUUUCUUCAUAUUCAGCUUUAUCACAAAGUAGUUGCAUUUGGAUUAUGCAAAACAAAUGGACGAUGAUAAAUGACAAUUGGAGUGAUGAAAAGGAAAACGAAAAAAGACAUGCCUGAUAUGAAAGCGGAACUUCUCUAGUGACAUCCCAAAUGAUGAUAGAGCUUUCACUGCUAUUGCUCGUGGAAACAUCGCUAGAAGAGAUGAACUGAUUGCUAUUGGGAGUAAACUCAACAUCAAGGAUUGGACCAAGGCGUCGAUUGUAUUUGUUAACCAUUUUUCCAAUUCUCAUAUCCCACAUUCGAAGGCUGCCUUUAAGUCCACCUGAAAGGAAGAGAUUUGGGUUGUUAGGAUGGAACUUUACUACUGCAACGCCUUGAUCCUCCUUGAAUACUCCAACUUCUGUCCCCUUCUCAACAUCAAUCAAUCUUGAAGCACAAUCGUAUCCACAAGAAAGAACAGAUAAUCCUUGUUGUGACCACUGAACAUCUUUAACUGCAGCGUUGUGGAAGUUUGACUUGAAUGCUAGCUUCUGCCCUGUGCUCCAUACGUUCCAUAUGCAGAUUGUGUGAUCCAUAGCAGCAGAAGCAAGGAGAUGAGCUGCAUUAACUCUAACAAACAGAUCAAUAAGCCAAGGCACAAACAUGCUCAAGCCAUAUUAAAUAAUCUGUCUCAUACCAGAAUAAAACAUCCGGCAAUGAUAUUUAAAACUUGAAAGAACCCAAUAGUGAACUCAAAUGUCAAAUAAUUUACUAAAGACGAAAGGAAAUAAGAGGAAGCUCACCAUGACUUGGUGACCAUUGAACUGAAUUGACAGCUUUCCUAUGGCAAUCAAGAAUUACAGACAUCCUUUUAGGCAUCAGACCUUGCUGUAAAUAGUCUUUGGCUCUACUUCUCAAUAGUGACAAGAUAUCACGUGGAAGAUCAGAAUCCGAAAGACUUCCAACUGUUAAAAUUGUAAGCUGGAUUCAUUAGAUUCUUGACAUGGUACAUUUCCUAUAUGCAUUCCUCAAUACAUUAAUAUAUAAUUCUUGGUACAUGAAAGUUCAUUCUCAGUACAUUUCCUAUAUGCCCCUACAGAGAGUUCUUCCCUCCGUAAUCAGGGAAGAAAAAACAAACCAAAUACCAAAGAAUAAUCUUCUUUCUCUUUUAGUUUUGUAAGAGAACAUUAGAGUGAAAUUUAUUGUGCGCAUCAGUGGUUCCAAAAGUGGUAUUAGAGAAUGAAUGGAGCACACAUCAACCUUUUAUUAAUAAAUGCAUCCCUUCCAAAAGUUAAGAUAUGUUGCAUGUAUUGGCUGUAGAAUCAUUAAGGUUAUUUAAGCAGAUGAUCCUAGCAAUAGCAAUAUAAGUUUGUCUCAAAGAUUAAGUGUAAGCAUAGAAUAAGACAACUUACUAAAGCUUCCAUCUGUAAACUCAAUUAAGAAAAGCAUAGUCCUUCCAUCCAUUAGUUGAGUUUACAUUGGUUAGAAGAAUAGUAUUCCUUCAUUGUUUAAUGGAAAUGAUAUGAUUGCAAGCAUAUCAUUAAAAUGAUAAAACGGCAAGCAUAUUACUAAAAUAAAAAAGUACUGAAACUAUAGAAGAAAUUUCCAAUCAUGAUCACUCUAUUUAUUAAUAGAUUGAUGGAGAAAGAAUUGAGGAUCAAAGAGUGGUCGACAAAGUCUGACAAGAUCCUUAGAAGUAUGACAAGAAAGUUCAAACACGUUGUAAUAAAACUUGAAGUGUCCAUAGAUAAGUAAACUCUCCACCCUCCAUCAAUAGCUAAAUGGGAUCCUCUUGACCGAAUGAGCAAAGAAUGGACUACAGUUCUUCUAAGAAAAGGCUUUUUAAACAUAAAUUAAAUUAGACAGAAAUCCAGAGGAUGGAAAGCCCAACAACUUCAAAGAUUCCGAGUCAAAAUAAAGAUAUUCAAACUUGUUCAAACAAGGAAAAAUUCCCCUUUAAAUACUACUCCAUGAGGCAUUAAAAAAGACGACACAUGCAUACAUGCAAUUCUUUUGUCUAAUAAACUAAAUUUUAUUCCCUUAUGUAUCUAUAUAACUUCCACAUUCUCUUCACUAGAUUUCCCCAACAAGAAGCUUCUUUUUCAUCUUCAUGAACAUAACUUAUGAUGCUGUGUAGUAAAAUACUUAAUCUUGAUCAAUACUUCUUUAAUUAAUUAUCUAAUGAAAGGAUAAUUGAUAUUUACUUUCACUACAACGAUGAACCAAAUUGUUCCUUCUUGAGGCCACUUUAGCUCUUGUAGUAGUCUUCUUAAUCGAGGUGCUAUGACGUGACAUACUGGUAAUAUUAUUAUGACAUUAGUAGUAACAUAUCAGUAAUAAGCUAGAUGAAACUUGGUUAUAAAUAGUGGAGUUGAGGUUUUUUGUUCCGUUUUUAGGCACGGGAUCAACAUGGCGAUUCUCUUGUGAGGGAUUUUGGAAGAGACAUAACCCUCUCGAAAGACCAUUGAUAUUAAAAUUUUAUUUACUCUUUUGAUAAAAACAACUUUCAAUAAGAAAAAGAAAAGAAAACAAGGGCACACAACAAAACAAGCCUACCGAAGAAGGGAGCUCCUUCUACAUAAAGGACUACAGCAACGUAAAAUAAAGCCUAUAGAACAAUUACAAAAGGUCUUCAAAAUCAAAAUUCACCAAGAAACAUGAAAGCAAACGAGGGACCAAAUCUUACUAGAGUCACAACCCACUUUCCCAAAUAUCCUACUAUUUCCCUCACUCCACAAAACUCAUAAGAUAGCAAACCCCCAGCAAAUAUAAAAAGUGACCCGUCUGCUUCUGUGUAUUUGUGAAGCAGAUUAAGAAGGAAGUAGGAACACCUCGAUCAUAGCACUAGUGUAUUUGUGACAAGCAUACAAGAAGCCAAACAUAUGAAGAAAAGUCUUGGGCACGACUCACAAACUCAAAAAUAGUAUAGUAAAAGGAAAAUUUUGAAGAAAAGAAGAAAACUGUUACAGAAGUAGAGAAAAGAUUGAAGAAAAAGAAAUGGUGUAUGAAUAGAAGAAAACGUAGAGAAGAAUUAAAAAGAAGAAAAAGAAGUUGAAAAGACAAGACUAUUUCCAGACUGCAUGCAAACUGUCAUGCUACCAAAUCUGACAGCCAAGAGGCAGUAUUCUUCCUCCCAUUAGAUGAAAGGAUUGUUUAAUACUAAGUCUGCUAAUUUUAAUGUAUCUAGAAAUUGUUCAUUUUUUGUAUAAACUAUUCGAAAGUCUUGUUAAUAUUUUCGUUUUCAUUUAUUAAAAAUUCAAGAUUUUUCCUCUUUCUCAAAAGCAGACCGGCAACUUUGGUUUCUUUCCCUCCCAUUUCUAUUUUUUUCUUUUGUAUCUAAUUCAUUUUAUUUUUCUUUUGUAUUUAUUGUAUGCUGUUAUUGUGAUGUUUUUAAAUGUAAUAUUUCACAACAUGUGAACAACAUAAAUUUAUUUUGUAAGAAAAAAAAUGUGUCCUCAAGUGCCUUAAUUUCUCUUGUUAAAGAGUUUUUUAUCAUUUUAUCGUUCUUUGUUUUUCUUUCUUUGCAUGACUUGAUCCUCCCCGGAUCAAAAUUCCUUGUUGUAUUUUGCAAAACUAGGACAGGAGAAAAAGAGAUGAAAAAGAAAGGCUAGACAGCGAAGAACAUUUCAAGAAGAAAUCUGUGCAAAAAGGACAUUUGAAGAAGAGCUUUCAAGAGGAGAAGAAGAAGAAGAAAUUAUGGCUAAUUCUAGCAAAAGUGGACAUGUUGUGCCCAACCUGACACGGCAUCCACUCUGCUUUACUCAAAACGCCGGAUAAUUUUGAUCUUAAAACUAGUCUCAAUCACUUACUACUUAUUUUCCACGGUCUUGCAAGUGAAGACCGACACAAGCACACCAAAGAGUUCCAUGUUAUGUGUUGUGGUAUGAAACCACAAGGAGUGACUGAGGAGAAGCUAAACCGCAUAACUUUUUCCUUCUUCUUGAAGGACAAUGCCAAGGACUGGUCAUGCCUCCUUUCUGCCGGAUCGAUGACAACCUGGGCACAAAUGAAGAAACUCUUCCUAGGAAAGUUCUUCUCGACCUCCAAAGCUACCAAGAGCAGGAAAGAGAUUUAUUGCAUCACUCAGGCUAAUAGUGAGACAUUGGCCCAGUAUUGGGUUGUGCUUCAAACGCCUCUGUGACUAUUUCCCCAUCAUCAUAUUUCAAAUGCAUUUUUGAUACCUCCAAGCAAAGAGGUUGACCAUCAUAUCCACCUGAAAGAAGGAAAGGUUUCAGCGAAUGUAAGACCCUAUAGAUAUGUGUCAGCCAAGAGACAGAAAUGGAAAAAAUGGUGGCCGAAAUGUUGUAUUCAGGAAUCAUUAGACAGAGGUCCAACCUCUACUCGAGUCCAGUAUUGUUGGUAAAAAAGAAAGAUGGAGGUGGAGAUUAUGUGUUGAUUACAGAGCUCUGAAUAAUGUGACCAUUCCUGAUAAAUUUCCAAUUUUAGUGAUUGAGGAGUUGUUUGACGAGUUGAAUGGAGCAUCAGAGUUCUCAAGGAUUGAUCUUAAAUCCAGUACCAUCAGAUCAGAAUGAAUCUGGCAUGUGUGGAGAAGAAGGCAUUUCGUACUCAUGAAGGUCACAAUGAAUUCUUGGUUAUGCCACUUGAGCUAACUAAUGCUCCUUUUAACAUUUCAAGCCUUGAUGAAUAAGGUCUUCAAGCCAUAUCUACGAAAGUUUGUCCUCGUGUUUUUUAGUGAUAUUCUAGUCUACAGUAAAGACUCUGGAGCAUAUUCAAAAUUUUGAAGUAGAAUUUGGAGUUUUACGAGAAGCAAAGUUGUAUGCUAAUAGACUUAAAUGUCAAUUCCUACAAAGACGACAGGAGUACUUGGGGCACAUGAUAUCAGGUGCCGUGUAGAGGCAGAGCCUAGUAAGAUUCGGGCAAUUAUUGAUUAGCCUCCACGAACUUGUAUACGAAAAGUAAGGAGCUUCCUAGGCCUGACCAAUUAUUAUAGACGAUUUGUCCAAAAUUACAAAGCCAUUGCAGCCUCAUUAACUCAGCUUCUGAAAAGAGGGCAUAUCAGUGGUCAGAGGAAGCCAGUAAAGCAUUUGACCAAUUGAAGACAGCAGUGGUAACCCUGCCUAUGUUAACCCUACCGAACUUUAGGCAAGUUUUUUAGUUAGAAACAUAUGUUUCAGGCUAUGGUUUAGGGGCAGUAUUAAUGCAAAACAAACGGCCAAUUGCCUUUUUCAGUCACCCUUUCAAGACUAGACAGAGGAAAACUAGUCUAUGAAAGAGAAUUAAUGGCAAUUGUGAUGGCAGUGUAAUGAUGGCAUCCUUACUUGUUGGGGCAUAAAUUCAUUAUAAAGACAUACCAGAAACUCUCAAAUAAUUACUUGAAUUGAGAGUGAUUCAACCCCACCAUCAACCGUGGCUAUCCAAACUAUUAGGAUACGAUUUUGAAGUAGUCUAUCAUCCGAGGGUGGAAAACAAGGUUGCUAACACGUUGUCUAGAAAACAUGAAGGGAUCGAGUUGGCAAACUUGGUGGUACCCACCUUGCUAGAUGUGGUUGUCAUCAAGGAGGAGGUCUAUAAAGAUAGUAAAUUGAAGGGGAUCACUGAGAAGCUAUUGGAGAAUGAAGAUAGUUUAUCUAAUUACUCACUCGAGCAAAGGGUGCUGAAAUUCAGAGGUCGCUUAGUAAUCUCCAAGACCUCCUCGUUACUUCCCUCUAUAUUACAUACAUACCAUGACUUUGUGUUUGGAGGACAUUCGAGUUUCUUACGCACUUAUAAAAGAUUAUUGGGGGAGUUGUAUUGGGAAGGUAUGAAGGGUGGUAUUAAGAAAUAUGUGGAAGAACGUUUAGUUUGUCAAAGAAAUAAAUUGUUGGCGCAUCACCAACUGAAUUGUUGUUGCCCCUGAGCAUUCCAAAUACAGUAUAGGAAGACAUUUCGACGGACUUCAUUGAGGGACUACCAAAAAUCGCAAGGGUUUGAUGCCUCUUUGUGGUGGUGGAUCGUCUGACAAAAUAUAGCCAUUUUAUAGGCUUGAAACACCCAUUCACAGUGAAAGGGGUAGCUGAUUUUUUUGUGAAGAAGAUAAUAAAGCUUCAUGAAUACCCCAAAUCUAUAGUUUCUGAUAGAGAUAAGGUUUUCCUAAGCCAUUUUUGCUAGAAAUCAUUCAAACUAGCAGAGACUCAAUUGAAUAGAAGCACUGCUUACCAUUCACAAUUAGAUAGCCAAACAGAGGUGGUAAAUAAAAGUCUUGAAGCCUACCUGCGUUGCUUUUGCGGGAAAAGACCUUCACAGUGGUAUGCUUGGUUGCACUGGGCAAAACAUUGGCACAACACCACCUAUAAUGCUUCCAUUGAUAUCAUUCCAUCGGCCAAUGACCACUAGCUCUAAUUGCCUACAGAGAGCAAACGGCCACCAAUUCCACCCUUGAUCAUCAAUUACAAGAGAGAGAUGUAGCCUUGGGAGUUUUAAAGGAGCAUUUGACAAUGGCCCAACAAUGUAUGAAGGAAUUUGUUGAUCGUAAAAGAAGAGAAUUGAAGUUUGAAAUAGAAGAAUAUAUGUAUUUGAAGCUACAACCUCAUAAACAGACCUUGAUGAUGACAGGACAUAAUGAGAAGCUAUCACCUAAGUACUUUGGGCCCUACCGCACUGAAGCAAGAGUGGGGAAGGUAGCGUAUCGCUUGGCCUUACCAAAAGAAGCUUCGAUCCACCUAGUUUUUUACAUCAUGCAGCUGAAGAAAACAUUGGGGAUCAAAUAAGACAAUGGAACCAGCACUACCUCCCCUAUCAAAGAAAUUUGAAUGGGUGACCGAACCUGAAGGAGUCUAUGCCUAUUGCAAAAAUCCAAAUGCUUGGAAGGGACAACCUCCUCAUGGUGCUACUUGGGAAACAAUUGAAGAUUUUAACCAGAAAUUUCCUAUGUUUCACCUUGAGGGCAAGGUGGAUUUAGGAGGGGGAGUAAUGUUAGGCCCUCAGUUAUACAUCAAUAUCAUAGGAGAGGUAAAGGCAAGAAAGAGAGAAACGAGUAAGGGUGGGGACCACUAUAAGGGAGGCUAUAAAUAGAAAGUCGAAGAGAGGGAAGGGUAGUGAGUUGCUUAGUAGAAUCUUCUCGAGAAUGAGAGUUGAUGGCAAAGAUAAUUGAUUGUGAUUGUGCUUUGAGUGAAUGCACUUAGGGUUAUCAACCCAUUCUUGUUAAUAAGAUUAGUAUCGUCUAUUCGCGACACAUUUCACAUCAUUGCUUUACCAUCGGACUUUCCACAAAAGCGUAUCUUCUUUCAAGUCCCAGUCCUACUUCACUGAUUUCUGCUCAUCCUUUCUAUGAACAUAUGGGGGAAAACUAGUACGAUUUUGUUCAUCCUUCAUCAAUUGAUCUUUUUAACUCAGCUUCAUAUUCGAUGGCACUAGCCUCUUGGUUUAGUGAUCUUGAUCUUUGUAUAACACGAUACCAACAAAUAAGCAACCCAGCCAAUUUUCAACUAAGAAAAAAAGAGAAUUAAAUGGAAUCUAGAAAGCUCUAUUUCUUUUCAAAAAAAAUUGAUUAGAGAGGGGUGUCUAUAUCAAUAUGACACCUUGAUUGUCUUGGUUUUCAGAUUUGUUAUUUGGUGAAACUUUUUCCCCUCAAGUGGGCUUCAUGAUGUUUUUGCCUUAAUCAUGUUGUGCACAUCUUUCUCAAGAUCUUUGUGCUUCAAUUGUUUUUUCUUUCGGUCCAAUCAGCAUCUUUAUAUAACUCAUCCUUUAUGGAUUGACCUGUACCUUUUACUUUCCCUAUUUGCACAUCCUUGCUUGUAUCUUUCAUAUUGAGCUCUGCUUUUGUUUGAAAAAUCUGUAAGAAGUAAGAUGAUGUAAUUUUUUAAAAGAAUAAUAAGCAAAAUAAAGUUCCAACACUUUAUGCUUACUUACCUAUUCUUUUAUAGAAACAACUGCUUUCAUUCAGAAAAAAUGAAAGAAUACAAGGAUAACAAAAAAAAAAAGCCUGCUUUUAUAGCAUGCUAGUUUCAUAGAAAUGUUUGCUUUCUUACUUAAUUAGGAUGGCCUAGGAAGUGUUUUCCAUCCCCAUUCACUUGUUUUCAUUGAAAUAAGCAUUAUAUGAGACCUUUACAACAAUUUUCUUGGCUUACUUUCCUAGCGCACUAGACAACCUUAGUUUUUACUCUUAGGAUGGGUUUAUGAUGUCUCUAAGUUUGUAGUCACUCCAAAAGACCCCACUAGUUGACGUGUUGUUGUUAGGAUUCUACACCCUUUUUAAUAAAAUACCCAACUAGGGCUAAAAAGAGACAGCACCCUGUGAUCCUUUAUAUCUAUAUAUAGCCCAAAGUUACAGCUACAAUAAGGAAUGAAAAUAAGACAAUGAACAAUAAGAACAAACCUGCACUCUUCACAAGAAGGAUACCCCUCUCCUAUCGGCUGCUGCCGCCUCCCUUUCCUAAAAGAUAACCCAAAAAGAUACCUAUCCCUAUUUCUCAAUCAUUCUAUUUAUACUCACCCUCAAAUUCCUACCCAGUGGGACCCUCCUGCACAUUCUUUUAUUUCCCACUCAUUCUCUCUCCUUACAUGUUGGUGAGUUUCCCUUCUUACCCUUCCUAACAUACGUAUGUAUGAUUGGGGGUCUCACAGUUGUCUCACUUGAGAGGGUGCAAUAUGAGACUAAGAAGAAAAAGAGAGUCAUGAGUCUAAGUGAAUAAAAACAAAAGAGUGAAAGGAAAGCAAGCUUAGAAAAAUUAAAAUAGAAAGAAAAAAGAAAAGAAAGAAAGAGAAGAAGAAAAAUAAAGCACAAGAAAAUUUUGUUGAGUGAGUAAAUAGAUAGGGUAAAAGGAGCUACCUCCAUUGUGAUAAGUUAGGAUGCCCAUGAAACCUUAGGUUUAAGCCCUAUUAUAAGCCUUUUUAUGAGUUCUUCAUUGUGACACUCCUUCAUUUCCUAUAUAUACCACUUCAUUUUCCAAGAAAAAACAUGCAAGGACUGAGAGGGGCGCACCCAUCCCAAGUUAUAAGCCUUUUUAUGAGUUCUUCAACUUCUCACCACCUUUCAUAGUUUCUUUUGAUUUGUAUUAUGGCUUGAUGUUGGGGAACCUCGAUUGCUACUAAGGUAUGUGAACUUUGUUAGUCUUUGUUUAGUUAUGGAUUUGGAUGAACCCAUUGCAUGUUUAUGAGAGGAUUGUGCUAAAUAUAUGUAUAUUUUUAUCUCUUAGCCAUCUGUAUCUCUUGCUUUAAUUCUUUAGUGUGUGGAAUGGUUGAGACUGACAACCCAAGUCAUUAAGCAUAUUGCAUGCUAAACACUAGAAACAUACAUAAAUUGUAAUUGUUAUGUAUUGAUUGCCAAAGUAGCAAGAGUCAUCUCAUGAGUAUAGGGUUUGUUUCACGGCAUUUUUGGAAACAUCGUAUAAUUGCCUUGAGUAGCUUAGAGAUAGAGAGAAAUUGAUUAAUUAGUUGGUGUUUUUGUCAGUUAAUCAUCAUGAUUUCACCCUAGAACCCAAUGCAUGUGUUUGAUUAAUCUCUUAAUGAAUUUCACAUCUUAAUUAGUCAGCACACAGUUUAACUAGGAUGCAAGUCUUAAUUAAUAGUUUACGACGUUUAAUGUCAGUAUUACCCAUUAAGUAGACUGUGUGAGCAAGAUUGAUUGAGUAAUAUCCAAGGACCAUAAAUAUGAAUUAGGGGGUUCCAUUUCUGUUAACUAAGCGUGAAUAGGGGGAUUCCAUUUCCGUUAACCAAGCGCAUCUGCUCAUUUAACAAAAUCAAAGGAACAACCACCUUCUUUAGCUCACUUAUCCUUUGAUUCUCAAGUUCACACACAACCCACCAAUUUACCGCUUUAACUAAAAAUGGGUUUUAAGGAAUUAAUCUUUGAGCUUCCUUGAAAUUCAACCCAGUCUGACCACUAAUGCUACUCUUUCAUAAUAAUCAAUCGUAUAAAAUAUAAAUAUUAUUUGAUCGAUUGAAGGGCUUAACAACCUUGUCUCUGUCAGAUAGUCCUCGAAUUCCCCGCACGCAAGAGGCCACAGUAAGAAAAAGGAAAGGAUCCCACACAACCAAUCAUACCAACCCAUCUCCUUAGUUUUUCAUGAUCACAAUUGAUUUGCAAAAUUUGACACUUGAUCUUAUUUUAAGCCCAAACAUCGCCUCAAAGAAUCCCACACGGUGGUUAAGGAUCCUAAAGGAGUUCUCUUUACCAGAGCAACAUAGUGUCGUCAACAAACUAAAGAUGAGAUGAAGCCACCACCAUUGAACCAACCUUAAAAGGGUUCGAUUUAUAACGUUACCUUCCAACUCUUUCAAGAUGAGUCUAUUCAUAGCAUCCACAGCUAGUAAGAACAACAAAGGAAGAAAAAGGGUCUCCAGUUUUAGCCACCUUAAAGACUUGAUUGAUCCGUUUGGAUUUCCAUUCACAAGGACUGAGCAACUCAAAUUCCUGACAUAGUUCCAUAUCCACAUUCUUCAUUUAUAACCAAAACCUUUUUUACCAUGACCUUGUCCAGGAAGUCCCAAUCAACCUGGUCGUAUGCCUCUUCGAAGUUAAUUUUAGAAAUCACUUCUUCCUUUACCUAUUCAAUUGGUUCUUUAUUCCCUUAUAUUUCAUAGUAAAUAUAAAGUAACUGAUCCAAUUAACCUCAUCUCUAAGUCUUAAAUAACAGCAUCAAUUCCUUAACAAAAUUUUCCCAGAAUCCCGAAUUCAUCACUAAAGUUCAUUGGAAACAAGUGGAACCAAACUAUAAGUACACAAAGAGACGAGAUAGUUUAGCAAUUAACAAUAUGAACCAGCAUGAGUAAGGAUAUUCAACUUGAAGCAAUAAAAUUCUUCUACAUAGAAUAUUAAAAGGGGCAAUUGAUUGAACUAAAACUAUUGCUUUCAAUUAACGGAAAAAUUAGAAGCUAAAUAAACGAAAAGGACAGAUACCAGGUGGAGUUUGAAAUGAUGGGUUAGGAAAUGAGUCUGGAGCCCUUGAUGCUGGAGUUGAACUCAAGAGUGCUCGCUCUCUCUUGGAAACGUAGCGUCCAGGAACCAUAAUCCUCUCAUGAGUCUCAGAAUUAGAGUCCGAGCAAUGCAAUGACCGUAAGUUCGGCUUGAAUUUAAAAGGUUCGCGUUCGGGUCUCUUUGAAGGUGAAGAGGAGAGGGCCAAGCGCUUGGGCUUAGGUUCAUCUUCUUCGUCGUAAUCGUCAGAGGAAUUUGAGUAAGCUUUGAACAGAGAUUCCAUAGCUCUGAAAUAGAGAAGAACGUAAGAAAAGACAGAAAAAGUUUGAUCACAACGAGAGAUCUGAAGAUGGAAGCAUUGUGCAAAUGGCAGCUUGGAGUGUGAGGCUACAGAAUAAGAGACGGAGAGAAAAUGGAUACAGAGAUGUGUCAAAGACCGACAACAGAGAGGGGCUGGUGUGUCGGUCUGUGGGCGCCGUAGGGAAUGAGGAAGAAGAAAGAAACCUAGGUGGGGGGCCGGGAUCGUUCUGCGGCCGAACGUCGACGGCAGCGAGGAGAAAUAGCCAAAUAAGAGACACUGUCAUCAAUUACCUUUUUUUAUUUUCGCAUUUGAUGUUGUCAUAAAAUAGAAAAAACUAAUUAGUCUUAUCACAUGUCACCUUCUAAUUUUCUUUUAAACGAUCAUGAUAGGUUGUCGUAUAGAAAAUGAUAAAUGAUCGUGUAGGUAGUAUCAACACGAUCGUACGCUAAAUGAAAUGUUUACUAUAGCAAGCGAUCAUUUAUAUCAUAUCCACACAAUUGUGUAGUACUUUUAAAAUUAUGGAAAAAAAUGGUUCAAAUCUAAAUGAUCGUGUUGAUCCGUAAAUGAUUAUUUAAAUCAUAUCCACGCAAUUAUGUUCUUUUUAAACAAUGAGAAAAAAACUUCAAUUUUAAAUGAUUGUGUUGAUAAUACUAAACAAUCGUGUUGACUUGAUAACCGAUCAUUUAGAUCAUAUUAAAAUGAUAUUUAAACGAACUUGAUAUCCUGGAAUAGGAGCUAGAAGAAAAAAAUGAAUAAAAAUUGGAGAAAGAAAAUGUGGAAGAUGAGCUAAAGAAAUCUAAAAGAGAAGAUAAAUAAAAUACAAAUAAGAAGAAAAAAAAGUGACAAAUCAUCCGAAAUAUCAAUGGCAACUAUGAAAUUUAUAAAAAUAUUUUAUCGGCAUCAUAGUCUUUUUAUUUUUAUUACACAUGUCAUAAAUAUUUUGGUGUUUUAUUACGUUUACGAAAAUUAACCCACUUAAAAUGGUUGUUUUUUCUAAUGCUUUCAUAUCAUAUUAAACAUUUAGGGAACGUUUGGAGAAAGUGUUAGGUUAUGGAAGGGUUAAUGUUAUGAUAAAACUAGUUAUGAUAGUAUGUGUUUGAGAGAUCAUGGAAGUAGUGUUAUGAUAAGAUGUACUCAUCUAAGGGUUGUCCUCAUUCAUAGUGGAGGAAGAGGCGCAAAGAACAUUGCAUGAGAAAGAUCUCGAACCCAAUCGAGAUGAGGUGCCUUUUAUUCAUUUAUAUUUCAAAAUGCAAAUUUUCUAUAUUUAAUUUAUUAAAUUGUCCUAUUUAGUAAAACAAUUUUCAGAAAUUUAUUUAAAUGUGACAUCCAUUUUAACCUUUUUUUAGGUAGUUGUUAAGUGCGAAUAAAUUAUUAAUUAUUAUUAUUUUAAAUUCAUAUUUAAACUCCAAAUACACAAAUUUCGUAUAUUUAAUUUACCAAAUCAUACUAAUUUUCGUAAAAUAAUUUGGCUUAAUUUCUUUAAAUACGAUGUGAAAUUUUCAACAUUUUUUAAAGUAAUCGUUACGGUUGAUUAAAUCACUGAUUUUUCUUUUAAACAUAAAACAUUCUAUUUGUUUUUUCCCUCUUUUUAAAGAAGGUGAUUGUUGUUCCACGAGCAACAAAAAUGAAAAAAAAAAAAUAGAAACUUAAUGAAAUAUAUAAAAAUAAGGAAGAAAAAGAAAACAAAACUACAUUUUGAAAAAGUAUGAGCAUAAUUUGGUAAAAAAAUUAAUUCAAAUAAAUCUUAAUUCAAAUUUCGCCAUUAAAUUGAAUUUUUUUAAAGAAAAUUCUUGUACAUUCAAAGUUUAAAUACCUUUUUAAAUGGAAAAUUGCAUCAAAUGAAAAAAAAAACAUUUAGAAAAAAACAGCUCGUGGAUCCAAUUUGUUUUUGCAUAUUAUGAAAACAACAAAAUUAGUGAUAUUAGACAGUAAUCAUAAGGCUAUCAGAGGGUCAUCACUUUUAUAUUUACUACUUUUGCAAAUUUAGAAAAUGUUGUGACUUAUAUUUUGUUAUUAUAAUUUUUUUUUUUGCUACUUUUGCAAAAGCUCUUUUUAAAAUAUUUUGUUAUACAUUUUUUUAGGGUUUUUUUUUAAAUAGAACAAAAUAGCAAAAUAUUUACACUGUAUACCGUAUAGAACAAUUUCAAAAAUGAAAAAUGUAUAGAAUAAUUUCAAAAAUGAAAAAUGCCCACAGCCCACAAUGAAAAUUUCCAAAAAUGUUCUACAAUUAAUUGGCAUCCAGCGCUCAUAAUAUAUUUGGAAAACAAUCGUUUAGAUUUAGCUAUUCUUCUAUAUACGAUCAUUAAGAUUUGGAUAACCAAAUCUAAAUGAUUUUUUUUAGUACGUAAUCGUUUAGAUUUGACACACGAAAGUUUAAUUUAAUCGUUUAAAUUUAGUCGAUUAAAUUUUGGUAGCCAAAUAUAAACGAUUUUUUUCAAGAUUUUUUUGUAUGUGAUCAUUUAGAUUUGACACAUGAUCAUUUACAUUUGGCACACGAUCGUUUAGAUUUGAUCGGUUAAAUUAAGUAGUCAAGUCUCGACUAUUUUUUUCAAGAUUUUUUGACACGAUCAUUUAUAUUUAGAACAUGAACGUUUAUAUUUGGAAUGUGAUCGUUUACAUUUGACAAUCAAAUAUCUCGAAUGAUUUUUUUUCACAAUAUUUUAUAUUUAGCACACGAUCUUGACUCAAAUAAUAAUUUUUAAAAAUAUUACAAAAUUACAAAAAAAAAAAGAUGAUGGAAAGGAAAAGAAAAAAAAUUACAGAAAAAGAGAAAAAUACAAUGGAAAGGAAAAGAAAAAUUGCAGAAGAAAGAAUAUGAAAAUGAAUGGCUUAAUCACAUUCCUCUACUUCUUGUGAGACGUCUGACUAUGAAACCACUUGGUAUUCUUAUCCUCCCAUUUGAGCCACUCGUCACGCGAUCUACUUUCCAAUAUAUCUCAUUCUCUUCUAGCAAAUUUCCAAGCUCAACCUCUGCUUUACAAAUAUUCCUUUUGUCCCACCCUCAUCACAACUUUUAAAGGUUUCAACUUCCUCUUCUUUUUUAUGAAUGGCGUUUCAGAUAGAACCUGUCAGCUUACCAAGGUUCUAGUUUCUUAGGCUUUCUAGACAAAAUUUAACCCUAUCCAAAAAUCCAGUCACCCCCUCCUCUCUAGAUUGCAUCCAACAACUGUUAAUAAUAUUUCUAUACUUCUAAAACUUCAACCAUCCAUCCUUGACUAUGAUCAAUUUGUCACUCUUUUUUGUAAAAUUUUAGGUACUUGCACUACCAUUUUAAAGAUGACAGGUCUAUGAUCGACCAACAAAAAUUUAAAUGACUAAUCUGGAUAUGAAGGAAUCUAGUCGCAAAAUCAUUAUUGAUGAGGAAGUGGUCCAGUCUUUCUUUGAUGACUUUGCGUCUGAUAUUUCGUUUUCAAGUAAACAUAUCAUCUUUUCACCCAGAAUUGUGAAGAGCACAAUUGUCCCAAGCUUCAUGAAACUGGUUCAUUUGAUUUUGACUUCUACCAUUACAUAAACAAUUAAUUUAUGAAAUUAUUCUAUUUUCGUAGAUAACUCUCAAAUAGCUCGUACUCUUAGGAGACGUGAGCACUUGAGGAACUUGGAGUUGGAGCGAUAUGUUGCACAAAAUGAGAAGAUUCUCAUAUCGAUUGCUUCAGUACAGGAUGAGUUGAUCCCUCCACACGCCGUUCACUUCAACUAUAUCGAGCUGUAUGAAUAAUUUUCCAGUUCAUUUUCUUAAGUGGAUUGACGUUACGGCAGAUUAUAUCGAGCUCGUGAAGGGCUCUUUACAGGUAAGUUUUAAAAUCAAUCGUACAUAUAUGUUACUUACCUACUGCGUGUAUAUAUAGAAUCGUAAUCCGUGUGUACUUUUCUUUUGUAGCAAUUUGUCGUGUUUGAUUUCACAGAUCCAGCAACUAAUCGGUUUGUUGAGCAUCAAAUGUUCACCACCUAGAAGGAGUUUAGGGGGCAAAACCAUCGUCGAUUCAAGAAGUUGAGUGAUUUUGACAGAAACAUGCCAACUCACCCCCUCAUAUUGAAAAAUCAUGUGGAAGAUUGACAUUUCCUAUGCAACCACUACCUUACUCGACAAUUUGAGGUGAUUUAGAACUUUUAAUGUUCUCAAAUAAUAGUUCAUUUUUUUAUGUACCAUUUUGAUAUUAUUUGGUUGUAAGAGUAAUCAACGAUGAAUAGGGCUGCUAGAGCGAAGUAGCCCUACAACCAUAGUAGCGACGCCAAGUCGUUUAUACAAUGAGUGUGCAAGCUCAUUAAAAAAUGGGGUCAUCCAAUCGACCGAGUGGAGUUGUUCAAGGAAACACAUGCUCGGGAUGACUGGUUCAAUUCGCCAGCAAUUGCAGAUGCUCAUGUAACUUUCUGCUAUGUUUUUUUCUUUUUUAUACGUACAUUUCAUUUACACACGAUUUACUUAAUUGAUACAAUUUUUAUUGCAUAAUCAAAUGUUGGUCAUCCAAUCCCAGCCUGCCCUAGAGGGUUCUCAACCACUUUCUGGAGACGAGAUAUGCGAGAUAGUUUUGGGUAGACGAUCAAACUACUCAAAAGGUCUUGGUUGAGACCCAUGUAGGCCAAAGUCCCGACACGCUGCUGUCAAUUCUUUCUCUACAUCCCAUGAGCGAGAGAUGCACGUCAGAAAUGUUCACGAGCUAAAAACUCGUCUUUAGGAAGUAGAAAAAGAAAGUAGAUGGAGGCACAAGAAAAAUGAUCAGAAGAUGAUUAAAGAAAUGAGGAAGAUAAUUGAAGAGCUCACUCGGGCAGCGAGAGGACCUUGAUAUCUUCAUUUAAUGUACAUAAUUUUAAACUUUUACAUUCUUUCAUUUCUUAUUGGGGUGAUAUAUAUUUAAACUUUCAUUCGAAGACAUGGGGGGAUUGCAUUUGUAUCGCUUAGAUUAGUUUUUUAGUUUUUAGUUUAGCUUAUUCAUGUUAUUUUUCUACCUACAAAUGUUUGUAUUUUUAUAUAUUUGAAUUAAUUUUAAUAUAUAUUUGAUUUGAUAUUUUAUUAAUUUUACAUUACCUAUAUUAUAAUUUCAAUCAUUUAAAUCGAAUUCAAUCCUAAUAGUGACAACAAAAAAUUAAAUAAUAAAAGAAUUAGUAAAAGGGCUUUCUCGACGCAGAAUCCACGUCGUGAAUGGCCGCAUGUAACGACAUGGCAUCGUUUCAAGUUAUGUCGACACUGCGUCGGUCUUACCUUCAAUGACCUACACGACGAUGUCAACACUUUCUUAUUGCCGUCAAGUUGACUUGACGUCGACAGAACUCUUUUGUCGACACUCAGACUUGACGUCGACAUUAGUGUAUUGUCGACGUGUUGACCUUGUCGGUGAAUCAUGCGUAAGCCAAAAUCCUAUAUUGACGUCGUCUCGUACCAACGUCUCCAUUACCUCUUACAACACGUCAAUCAUGACAUCAAUGCUGAUGUGCCCUUCUACGUCAGUGUAGCUUUUGCUCAAGCAUAAUGGCAUUUUAGCGACACAUAGUUGCGUUGACAAACCCUAUGCUUCUUGUAGUGAAGUAGAAGUAUUCAAAAUUUCAAUAAUAUCUCUAGUUUAAAUCUCUAGAGACAAUUUAUAUUUGACACUAAAAUUAGAAUGAUGUUAUAAUUAAGGUUCAUUAUGAUCGACUUGUUUUUAAAACAGUAGUUUCAAUUUGAGUAUUUCUUCAUAACUCUGUCUAACAAAAAAAGAUUGUUUACAAAUUUAUUUGGUUUGUUAUACCCCAAAAGUAUUGUUUUCGAUUAUGCCUAAUUGCUAGAAAGAAUGUCUAUAGAAUACCUAUGAACUAAUACUUAAAAUAAUGGUCACUGAAAUGUUGGUUGUUUGAGAUAAUUUUUCUUGGAGUUGGCAGUUGUUGGUAGUGUGUGGUGAUGGUCAAAGUUUAUCAACAACAAUGGUAUAGAUGGCAAAUAGUCGAAGUCGACCAACGUAAGGUGGUAAUAGUCACAAGAAUAUAGUAAAAGUGAGAUAGAUGACAUUUGAGAUGUAUGAAUAAUUUUACAAAUUAUUAUCAACUAGAGAGUGACAUUCUACCCUUAAAAGUAUUUUGUUACAAGUGUUUAUCUUAAACCUACUGUAUUUAUUAGUUUUUUUUUUCAAAUCUAAAUAAUAAGUUAUCUUACAAAAUUUUUUUUAAAAAAAAUUCUUUAAGAAAAAGCACCAAAAGUAUAGUUCUAGCACAUCACUUAGGGGAUUUAAAUAUUUUUGCUUUUAUAAUAAUGUAGUGAUUAAUUUGAAAACAACUAUUCAAAUGAAAAUUACUUUUUUCUUAAGGAUGUAUCAAUUAAACAUAAUGUUUAAUAUCAGUUUAGGGUUUCAUCCUACCUAUUAAAUUGAUACAACCUACAAAAAAACAAAUUAGGAAUAUAAAUUGAAAAUAUUGAUUUUACGAUAUAUCUAUUGAUGAAAAAAAAAUUAUAGUGAUCAGCCCCAUCACAUGUCAAAGAUCUGAUAGCUUAUUAAUGGAUUAUCACAUGAUAAGUGAGAAGGCUAUUGAUCAUAUAUUUAAUUAAUUAAGUAUUUUUAAAAACUUUCCCUUAAUCUUAAAGAUUAGUGUAUUAUAUAUAAUAUAUAUCAAUGGUCCUAUCCUAUUUAAUUAAUGAUCUAUGUAUCUUUCAAAAGUAUCACAUGGGUGUCCCACAUACCAACCCUACUUCCUCUUUUAUUUUAUUCCCUUCUUAUUCAAUUUACUUCUACGAAAACUCAGAGAUCCAAUCUACCAUGUACUGCUAUAAGAUAUUAUUAGUAAUUUUUACUUACGAUGUAUCUAGCUACUUUCUUUUGUUGGAUUUAUAUUAACUUCGAUUUAAGAAUGGCGUGGUGAACUCAAAAGAAGCACUAAUAAUAUAUGUUAAGGACUCGGCUCCUACAAUAUUUGAAAAGUUAAGACUUUCACGUCCUCACAAUUUUUUAUAAUAUUAUACGAAACUACUUCUCCUACUGUCAAUUGAUUUCGAGAUAGAACCUUGUGAGUUGUGAUAUCAAAUAUAGUAUGAGUCCAAACAAACACCUACCGAAUGACAUGUCGAGGUAAUAAAUGAUAAAGUAUUUAAACCUAAUUUUGAAAUAUUAACUUAUUUAUCUCUCUAUGUUAGAAGGGGCCGUGUAGGGAGAAUCUUUACGUAACCCUUUUACCUCUACAUUUUUCGUAAAUUUCCAUAUUAUACUAUUCAUUGAGUAGUUGUAACUUUUGAGUGAAAUCUUAGAUGACUUAAUGCAUUUGAUGUUGAUGGGAUGCAACUCUUCGAGAUAGGAUGCAUUUAUUUGAAAUGAAAGUGUUACAUUAGUUGAUUGAUUCUUUGGAUGACAUUGUGCAGAAGAAAACCAAAAGAAAUACAUGUAUUUUAUAUUUUUAAAAAACAAUUUAAUUAAUAAGAUCCCAAACUUAAAAGAAAACAUUAAAAAGACAAAAUAUUUGAUUGAAUAAAAUUAACAAUUAAUAAGAUGAAACAAUCCAUCCCAUUUCAAGUUGAAUAAAAAUUAUUUCAUUGUAUACAUUACAAUGAAUUCAAUAAUUUAAUUACUAGAACCACUUUUCUCUUCUUUAAACUAAUAGAAUAUUGUUUGUUUGUUUGAAAAAAAAAGGAUAAUAUGAAAGAAAUAAAAUUAUUACAUUACCUGAUUUCUAAUUGUAUUAAGAGGGCGUUGUAAGAUAACAUGGUCUGUUUAUCUCAAAUAACUUACAAAAAACUUACUGAUAUAUAUUAUAUUAAGUCACUUGACUUAACGUAUCAUUUGCAAAUUAUUAAAUUCAUAAAUCAAAACCUAAGUUUCUAUUCUACUUAUGUUUUAAUACAAAUUACAAAUUAUGCAGCUCUUAUCCCAAUUGUAAGCAAUUUAUCAAAACUAUGGGCCUAACGGCUCUUUAACAAUUUAAAUUCGAAUUAAAUAAAUUUUAAUCAAAUGUAAAAUUAAAUAAGUUUAUCUUGGGAAGCAAGCAAGGCUAGUUUAUUAAUUAAUUUUGUUUGUAAUAUUUCAAUUUUGUAAUGAUUAAUCUAUGAAUUUUAAGAAAAGGGUACUUCGAAUUGCGAUUAUUGAAGUCUUCAAAAGUUUUAGUAAUAUACAUGUCCUUUAAGAAAAGUAAGGCAAUUAUAUAAUUUUUUUCUAAUUUCUUUUUUAUGAAGGAUAUCAAAAGCAAUCUUUUCUUUAAAGUUUUCCUUCCUCUUUUUUUAGUAAAGUUACUCAUGUAUUUAUUAUUUAAUAUAACAAAUAUGUCAAUCAUAAAAAUACAAAGAAAAUUGUUAAUAUAUAUAACCAUAGUUGAAGGAAAAUUUAAAAUGAACUAAAAAACAAAGAUUGAUAUUAAAAUAAGAACAAAUGAAUUAAGUGACAGCAUGAGUGACGUGUGCUCUACUCCAUAAUUUUAGAGAUUGUUUUGUUUCAAUAUUUAAUACCUUUUUAAAAUAUUUUGUUUGAUCCUCAAACUUUGCUUAAACGAUUGACAUUAAUUACUCGAUUUGCACUUUCAAAUAGCUUAUUUAAAAUUCUUUUUUAAUAUAGGCAACUACUCACCACAUGUUGCCAAUCAUUUAGGCUGAGUUUGAUAAAUAUUUUACAAGACUUUUUUGUUUUUUGUUUUUUUUUUCACGAGAAAAAAAUCUUUUUUAAAAUUAAGUUUAAUAACGUUUCUUUCAUCUCUAAGUUUUUAUCGUUGUUUAUUUUGUACUCAUGCAUUUGAAAACUAAUUAAACUUUUAAAACAUAUGUAAUUUUUAAAAAGUAGAUUAAGGGUGUUUGGAUUAUAUUUUCAAGUGUUUAAUUUAAAAAAUGAGUUAUUUUGAAGAAAAGAACCUAAAGUAUUUUGAAAGCUAUUUAAAAUAAAUAAAUUUUAGAAAAAAAUUUAAACAAACGUGAACUUUUUUAAAAACAUUUUUUUUAAAUUCAAUUCAAACUUUCAAGUGGACAUAAUCAACAAGUUAAAGAAUGACAAUGCAAGUAGAUGAUCAAUCAGGUAAGGUUAAUUUAAGAGAACAAUCCGUUAUAGAAAACAAUAAAAACUAGGUUUAAUUAACUGUUUCUGUACCUUUUAGAAUUUAGACUUGCUUUUGUUCAUAUAUAUACUUCUAGUUUAGGUUCAUUUUAGUCUCUAUACUUUCAACUUUGUUUCAUUUUAGUUCUUCCAUCUUCAUUUUUACUUUAUUUUUUAAAAAUUAAAUUAGUACUAUUUAAAAAAUUUAAUAAAUAAAAUGAACCAAAAUUAAGUAUGAAGAUGAAUAUUUUAAAAGUAUGUUGAAGGGAAUGAAUGAAAAAUAAAAGUACACAUAGAAGACUAUAUGGAGAAAGAAUCAAAUGGUUUUUCUUUAAAUAAACAUAAAUAUCAAAAUCGAAAUAUAAAUUAAUUUCUCACCAUAAACUUAUAAUUUGUUAGCUAAUUUUUUUAUUUGUAGUUUAAAAAACUAAAUAUGUUUUAAAGUUCAAGUAAAGUUUUAAAUAUCUGUGAGAAGUUGGUUUGAAAAGCAUAGUUAAAAAAUAAAUUAAAAGUUGUAAAAAAGAAGAAAAUAAUAACAAUAAACUGAAAGCUGGUUUAUUAUUAUUAUAUUUUCCAUGUAUGAUGAAACCAUGGAAGUAAUAGAGUAAAUUGGAAGCUACAAGAGUUGAAAAGAAAGCAUUAAAAAUCAAAGAUAUGUUAAAGACUAAUUUAAUUUAUUUGAAUUGAUAUCCUUCAUUAAAAAGUAAAUAAAGAGUUUGUAACUUAGUUGAAGAUAAGAUAUAAUAUGGAUGUUCUCUUUCACAGUAUGAUUUACCAAAUGUUUGCACCAAAUGAGAAAGUGCAGUACAAGUCGUAGAUAGCUGAUUCUAAAGAAAAUUAGAAAUAUGAUUUUACAUACUCAAAACAACCACCCAUGCAUAAGGAAUGAGCAAGUGAAGAAAAAAAAAAACAAAAGCAACAAUCUCUCCUUUCCUUUCCUUGUAUCACAAACCUGCUCCCAUUCACUUUCUGACACAUAUUUGGUCAGAGUCGGUACAAAAACCUACGCAAAAAUAAUUAAUUCUUUUCCCUCUUAAAAGAAAAGCAAUUCAAAGCAAACAACAAUAAGAACGAUCCCAUUAUCUAUUUUCUGUCACUAUCAUUCCCCAUUCCAUCUUAUUCAUCCCUCUUCUCAUGGCUUCACAUUACAAAAUCCUCUUCAUUUCCAUAACUUUUUUCACACUUCUUUCAAAUAAUGUCUCUGCCAAUCCCAUCAUCAAAUGGUGCAAAACGACGCCCCAUCCAAGAGUUUGCGUUUCCCUCAUGUCCCCAAUCAAACCUCCACCACAAAACAGACGGGAGUUUCGACAAAUGGCCAUUCAAACCACUUUGGAAAAAGCCGCCGAAGCCAGAGCUUACACUGCUCGCUUCGGUCCGACAUGUAAAACCUCGCGCCAGAGAACCGCGUGGACUGACUGUUUCAAGCUCUACAACGACGUCGUUCUCCAAUUAAACCGCACACUCCAUUGCGUCGUUACGGAUGAAGCAAUCCACCGCCGCAGUUGUACGGAUUUCGAUGCGCAAACCUGGCUUAGCUCUGCUCUUACUGACAUCGAUUUAUGCAACUCCGGCGCCGCGGAUCUCAAUGUGACGGAUUUUAUAACGCCGAUCAAAUGCUUGAAUGUUUCGAAGAUGAUUAGUAAUUGCUUGGCUAUUAAUGGUGGAUUUUUGGAGGAAGAAGGGGUUAAAUAUGAUGAUGGUAGAAAUGGGUCGUUUCCGAUGUGGGUUUCGGAAGGUGAUCGCAAGUUGUUGGAGUCGAGGCCGGGGAGGGUGAGGGCUAAUUUGGUGGUGGCGAAAGAUGGGUCGGGGACAUUUCGGAGGGUUCAGGCGGCGAUUGAUGCGGCGGCGAGGAGGCGUGGGAGGGGGAGAUUUAUAAUUUAUGUAAAAAGAGGGGUAUAUAGAGAAAAUAUUGAAGUUGGAAAUGAUAAUGGGAAUAUAAUGUUGGUGGGAGAUGGGAUGAGAUUUACGGUGAUCACAAGUGGAAGAAGUGUCGCCGCCGGUUUCACCACCUUCAGUUCGGCAACCGCUGGUGGAUUUCUCUCCUGGCCUUCUAUAUUUUGCACUUUAUACCGUUUUAAAAUAGCUAUUUAUUAUUACACUCAUAUAGUUAAAUUAUUUCGGUAAUUGUUUGGUAACCAUUCUAUUUCUAUUACAAGUUCAUCAAUUUGUUAAAAACAAAAUAAAAAACUUAAAUAGAUAUCAAACACAUAAGUUCAAGAAAAUAGUAAAUAUUAUCAUAAAAUCUAGGAACUAGUGUUUUCCUUUUUCUAAAUGUGACUUAACUAAUUUUACUGAGGUUUUAGGUAUCCAAGGUCCAGGCUUCAUAGCUCGAGACAUAAGGUUCGUGAACACAGCCGGUCCACGAAUGGGCCAAGCAGUGGCACUACGAUCAUCAUCAGACCUAUCAGUGUUUCAUCGAUGUAGCUUUGAAGGUUACCAAGACACACUAAUGGUCCUUUCACAGAGGCAAUUCUAUAAACAAUGUUACGUUUACGGUACAAUCGACUUCAUUUUCGGCAACGCGGCAGUAGUUUUACAAAAUUGCAUGAUUUACGUUAGAAGGCCUUUAAAGGGGCAAGUCAAUGUGAUCACAGCCCAAGGUCGAGAGGACCCAUUUCAAAACAGCGGAAUAUCAAUCCACAACUCACAAAUUCGAGCGGCGGCUGACUUGCGACCCAUGGUUGGCUCGGUGAAGACGUACUUGGGUAGGCCAUGGAAGAAGUAUUCACGGACUGUGAUAAUGAGAAGCUACAUUGAUUGGUUGGUUAGCCCAGCCGGAUGGUUGGCGUGGCAAAGUAGUAAAUUUGCUCAAGCUACGUUGUAUUAUGGGGAGUACCGUAAUAUUGGGCCAAGAGCUUCAACGCGGUUUAGAGUUAAAUGGCCUGGCUUUCAUGUCAUUAAAAGCCCAAAUGUGGCAUCUAAGUUUAGUGUUCAGAGACUUAUUGCUGGCCAGACAUGGCUUCCGGCCACCGGAGUUCCCUUCAAGCUUGGAGUUUGAGAUUCAAACUUUCAAGGUUUGGAAUUUGCUUCUCUCUCACCAUCUUAUUUUUGUUUAUUUAUUUAAAUAAAAUAUUUUAUUAUAUUGGGGUGUGAUUUGGGAUCUAACUAUUGUUUUAAAAUAGAAUGUAGGAAGGGGUAAUUUGUAUAAUUAUAUCAUGAUUAUGAGAUGCUACAUGUUCUUUCAUUUGCAUUUCUUCCUGAUAGAUUUAUUUGAAGAUCUUUUUUAUGGAUUUACUAUUUGGAUAUCUGCCUUCUAUAUCUACUCCUAUUCUUCAUGAUUUAUUUUAAAAAGUUCUUCUGGAUUUACCAUUUGAAUAUCAUCAGCCUUGUAUAUGUUGGAAGCAUUCUCUAACUUCACUCUAAAAUCUUACAAACUUUUAAGAGAUAAAAUCUCUUCUCUUACUUACAAAACUCAAGAACAUGCCAGAGAAGAAUGUUGUUAUCUGAAACUCACUUUCUUUUCAAACUUAAUUUGUUGCUUUCAUUGAUUCGAUAUUUUUCUUUCUUACUUCCAAGGGAAAAGAAAUGAACACUUUCUAUAUGACUCAAGAGACACUUCUUGAAAGACAUAAAAUAAAUGAAGUACAUGUAUGCAUACCAUUCAUGUACUUGAACUGUUACACGUAUCUAGAAAUGCGCACGUAUCUUGAAGUUAGAAAUGUAUCUAAGAAUGUGUUAUCCAUAAUGUAUUUAGCUAAUUAAUUUCUAACAGUAUAUCUACUCAUUUUGUAUAUUGAAGAAUCCAAAUUGUACCUCAAGUAAGCAAUGUUUUCAAAGUUUUCUAAUGUUCUAAUCUCUAUAGGUUUAACGACCACAUAAUGAAUAAUAUUCUUUGUUUGUCUGAAACUAUGAUAGAUAUUUUUGUUGCUUUAAUUUACUAGUGUAUGUGGAUGACAUUGUUAUUAUUUUAUAUAUAUAACCAAAAUUAAAUUAAACAAAAAAAAUUGUUUCCUUGUUAUUUUAAACCAUACCAAAUCAAAGAUUCAAUAGAAAAAUCCAAAUGGGUCGUUUUAGUAUUCACCCUUAUUUGUUCUUCUUUUAGGUGGUGGUGUAACACAUAUGACAUAUCCUCUAUUUGUGUUGUGAACUUAUAUGAAGCUUUACUUUUUGACAUAUUUCUAGUUAUUUGGGUUUGAUUUGAGUUAGUGAUGGCUUUAGUUAGAAAAUUUCUUAUAUUGAGAAGUCUGUACAAAUAUUGGGUAAAUAAUAGAAAAAAAAGGCUAUUAUUUUAGACUUGCAUACAAAUGUAGUCAAUUUGUUGGAGUCUUCAACAAUGGCCACACGACGUAUAUUGUAUUCAUUUGAUGGACCUAGACAAAGUAUAAAACAAUAAUCGAUAAAUAAUAGUUUUUUUUUUAGGGUUUUCAAAUAGAAUAGCCUAAUUUGGUAUAUGAUUUUACAUAAUGAGCCUAUUUCAAUAAUAAUUUUCAUAAAAGUCCUAAACGAGCUAUAGAAUUUCACAAAUGUAUGACCCAAUUUACCUUAUUACACAUUGGGAUUAGAAAUACGAAAUAAAUAAAAGAAUUUAAAAAAAGGAAUGUGCAGAGGUAAAUUAAGAGUGAACUAUGGCGGUUGUGUAAACGUUCUUCGUAUUUUAAAAAAUUCUCCCACUCGUCCAUCUUCGUCACUUCCAACCAAAAGAUUAGGAUUUUCAUCGUCAUCUAGAGUAGAACAUUCUCUAUAAGGCGUAUGAACGAACAACAUAGUGGUUCAAUGCAUUUUAAAUCCAGUUAGUAUUGUUUUUCAGUUCGUAUUUCAAAUACGAUAGGGUAUAUAUCAUAUAUUUGUUAUGUUUAUACAAUCUAUUACCAAGAUACAAAGAAACACAAAAUCUCACAAAUGAGUCUGAAGAAAAACAAUCCAACAAUGGAAGAAAUUGACAACAAAGAGAAGGAGGACAAUUAUAGGAAUGAUGAAGGGAACGGUGAGAGAAAUAAAGGUGAAGAUAAAUUGGAUCAAGGGAUAAAGAUAGUGAAAAAGGAGGACAACAUGUAACUUUUAAAUCAAUAUAUAUAGUUGAAUGUUAUUAUCUGAUAAAAUUAUGUUUGGUGUAUAUAUUAUAUACUCACUCUAAUGAUGAUCAGGAUUGACAAAAUGUAAAAAAUAAAAGACAAUAUGUAUCUUAUCAAUAUAAGUAGAUGUGACAAUACUUUAUUAUAUCAUAUAAUUAUGUGUUGCUCUAUAUAUUACAUACUCACUAUCAUGAGGAUCAAGCUGGCCGAAAUGAUGGUAAGUAUAGUUGUAAAUAUAGUUAUUACUUUUGAAUUUAUACGUAGUAUGAAAAUAUUUAAAUUAUGUUUAAUGUGAUUUAUGUAGAAGAAAAAAAAAGGAAAAAGCACCUGUUUAGAAAAUUGUAGUUGGGAAGAGUGCUACAAUAAUUGUACGUAUAUAUUUAAUGUUAUGUAUAUGUAUGGCAUAAUAUGUGAAAUAUACAAUAUUCAAUAUUGUCUAUAAUAACAGGCUCAAAGAAAAGAUAUAUUUUCUUAUCAGUAGGCUAUGAGGGGUAGCGAGCGAGCAUGAGAAGAGGAACUCUACCUCAAGGAUAAUGAGAUCUUCGUUCACAAAAACAUUUGGAUUGAUGGAGCCAAAAAAAAAGAGAAAAGUAGAGUUUCAUAGUGAAAGAUUUGAAUGACCAAAAUUUAAACUGGUCUCACAAGGAUCUUAGUAUAUUUUAGUUCAAUAUAAUAGAGAAAUUGAUGAAGGUUGAAUGUAGAAACAUGUAUUAUGUUAUUUUGAUUUUAUUCCAUUUUGGUAAAUUGCUUUUUGAUUUACAACGGUAAACAGUUACAAGUGUAUGUUUUUUAAUUGAUUUUAUAAAUUAAAUGAUGAAUAUGUUUAAAGUAACAUGGAUGAGUGGCAUGGUGAAAAAUAUAGUAUGUAUGUAAUGGAUGUUUUCGAUGUAGGCAACAUUAUCAAGUUUUGGAAGAUCAAAUGAACUUGAUGAGAAGCUUGUUGAAUACCGAGAAUACAAUAAAUUGGUCUAUAUAUCAUAUAUAUCCCACAUUCUACAAGUACAAAUCUUCGAAGGUAAGUACACAACAUAUUGAGAUGUGUCAUGGAUGACCUGGUAUUUCAUAUUGUUGACGGAAUUGUCCUACAUAGGUAAUUAAAUAGAAAAUGAAUGAGGUAUAUAAAUGAUUAAAUUAUGUAUAUAGAAAAUGUGUAAAUUAAAUAUAUCUUCAUACAUCAUCGACUAAGUUCAAUUUGUUCCCUUAAAAUACAUUUAAUUGUUUUUAUAAAAUAUGUAACUUGAUAGUCUACUUCAUUUUUUCGCUAAAAAGACCAUCUAUGCAACUUCAUUCUCAAAACCUCAAGCAUGGAACAUAUUGACAACUCCAUAGCCUUGAUAAUUAUAUUAUUCAAACUCUUAGAUAUGUUAGUAGUCAUGACAUUAUAUCUACUAAGUGAUGAGUAGGCACAAGACCACCUAGAAAAAUCAAUUGAUUGUAACUCCUCAUGUAUACUAGGUGCAUUUGAUUCCAACAAAUGCAUUUGAUGUUCACAGUCAACAACAUUAUAAGCCUUGCCACAUGCAUGAAACACGGUAUCGACUGUUGAUCAUCUAUACUUCAACUUCAAAUUUCUAAAUAAAUGAACCAGACACAUGCAAUGUAGAACGUUGGAAACUACUACCUCUAUCGCUUUGCAUUUACUUUUGUAUCGGUCAAAUACUAUGACAAUGUCAUUUCUACCACAAAUUAUUCACUUCAAUUAAUUGCAAAACCACGUCCAAGAGGAAUCAUUUUCAGAAUCGACCACACAAAAAACUAGUGGUAAUAUUUGAUUAUUGGUGUUAGAACUUAAAGCAGAUAAAAGAGUACCUACAUACUUAUUCUUCAUGCUUGUUCCAUUAAUAGAUAUGACUGGACGACAAUGUUGCCAAUCAGAAAUAGAACCAGACAAUGCCAUGAAGAAGUAUCAAAAUCUACCAUCGACAUCAACUUGGUAUUCAACAGUAGAACCUAUGAACAUAUUAAAUAUGAACAUUAAUGGUACAAAUUUGUAAUAAAAAUAAAUUACAUAUAUAAUGACAUAUAUUAUCAACAUACCUGGGUUAUUAAGUUGCAACUUGUAAGGAAAUUUGACUAUCAUCUUGUAGGAUUCCUCCGGAGAACCUCUAACCUCUAUGUUUUUUUUUUAAAAAACAACCUCCAUCUGAAUGAAUUUCAGUUUGAAAUCAACUUGAAGACGAUGAACCCAAAGAAAUCGCUAAAAGGCCAACAACAUGAAAAAUAAGGGCAAUAUGUUGUUCAACAUUCGAUAUUAUUAAUAUGGUAAAUUCAUUUGACAUCGUUAUCAUUCCUUAUAGCCAAAUCCUUCUUAAGACAUCUAUAGGGCCUAAGCAAAGAUAUAUAUAAAUGUUGUUCAUAUCAAUAAAACUACCUAACUUAGAUCUAAGGCCAUUGUACAAUUCUUAUAGCACAUGUUCAUCAACUAUUAUUUUAGACACACUAAAACUAACUUAAUUGAUAGAUUCGUUAAAAAAAAACCAUCGAAAUAGACUGUCAAGGUUCUCACUCAUAACUAUUAUUUCGAACAAUGUCUAGGCUCUAGAAAAUAGUUGAGGUUGUUAUUAGUUGUAGUCAAGUCUAAUUUUCUAUUCUUAUGGAGUUAGUGGGAUUAGUUGCUAACAUUGUGUAAUCUAUUUUUAGACUUAAGAUGAGUAUUUAUUUUGAGCAUUUUUUAGUGAAAUAAAAUACUUUCCAUUUUCUCAUUUCUCUACAUAAGCUUAAAUAUUCAAUAUUGGUAUUAGAGCCUGAUUCUUAAGAGAUUUAUGAGUAAGAAUCUCCGAGAGAAACUGAGUGAUACGCUUGUGAGAGUUAUUAGAGAUGGAGUUAGGAUAAAACAAUUUUAGAUCUGUGUUUGAUGGUAAAAAGUAUCAGGCUUGGGCUAUCAGAAUGCAAGCCUACAUGAAGGGUUGUGAUUAUUGAGAAGCAAUUGAUCAAACUAUAAGAUUGGUUCACUUCUAACAUUACAUCAGAUCAAGACUCACAAGGAAAGGGUCACCAAGAAGGCAAAGGUCAGAGCUUGUCUCCUGCUAUAUUCAACAGACUUUUUCCCUAAAGUCAGCAAAGGAGAUCCGAGAGUUUCUCAAAAGUGAGUAUGAAGGUGAUGAGAGGAUUAGUGCGAGAAUUCAAGCGAAUGCAAAUGAAGGAUUCUGAGUCCAUCAUAGAAUACUCAGAUAAGUUGAUUGGGAUUGCUAAUAAGGCAAGAGCAUUAGGAACUGAUUUAUCCGAUAGUAGAUUGGUUCAGAAGAUUCUGGUUUCAGUACCUGAACGAUAUGAAGCAACCAUUGCUUUUUAGAAAAUACUAAAGACCUCUCAAAACUUAAUUUUAUAAAAGUAGUUAAUGCUUUACAAGCACAAAAGCAAAGAAGGUUGAUGAGGAAAUAAGGAAGCAUUGAGGGGGCACUGAAAGCUAGAAUGCAGUAGGGAGAACGUGGAAAAGAGAAGAAGUGGAAAAGGAAGAAGGAAAGUGGCAAAAGUAGCAUGGAGUCUUUUGCAAAGGAUGUUGGUAGUGCAUGCAAGCACUGUGGAAAGUAGAACCAUCCACAUUUCAGAUGCUGGUGAAAGCCAGAUGUGAAGUGUAGAAUGUGUCAUUUAUUGGGGCACAUUGAACGAUUCUGUAAGGAAGUAAAAACUCAACAGCAAGAAGGAACACAUACUGCAGUACCAUAAGAAGAAGUUCAACUCUUUAUGGCUACUUGUUUCUCAUCAACCACUCAAUAUAUGGUUGGUUUUUUGAUAGUGGGGGUACCAAUCACAUGACAAGUGACAAAGAGUUGUUCAAGGACCUUGACAUAUCAUUCAAGUCAAGGGUGAAAAUAGGAAACAAUGUGUAUUUAGAAGUAAAGGGGAAUGACAUAGUGUCAAUGUGUUGGAACCAAGUUGAUUGUUGAAGUGUUGUUUGUCCUUGAGAUUGAUCAAAACUUGUUAAGCGUUGGUCAACUAGUAGAGAAGGGAUUCAAAGUGUUAUUUGAAGAAUGAAAGUGCCUAAUUUCUUGUUCCAAUGGGAACGAGCUCUUCAAAAUAAAGAUGCAACAUAAAAGCUUCUUGUUGGAUCCACUUGAAGAAUGACACUGAGUUAUGGCACAAGAAGUUGGAGCAUUUUCACAAAAAGGGUUGUAGUAUUUGUAGAAGAAUGACAUAGCAGUAGGAAUACCAGUUCUGAAGGAGCUGAAAACAAACUGUAGAUCUUGUUUAACGGGAAAGAAAACAAGGCUAAAACUUAUCCACUGUGACUUGUGGGGACCUGAACCAACUCAUUUACUAAAUGGUAGCAAAUAUUUUAUUAUCUUUAUUGAUGAUUGUACCAAAAUGUGUUGGAUAUAUUUCAUGAAGAAUAAGUCUGAAGUAGCUAAAGUGUUUUUGAAGUAUAAAAGAUGGAGAAUAUUUUUAUAAGAAAAUUUUGUCAUAUUUACAAAAUUUGUUGACUCUAAUUUUAAUAUUUCCAAAUAUUAUUUGACUUUUCUAACUUAUUUUCUCUAUUUUUUUUUCUUCUUCUCCAACUUUACUUCUAUAUCUUGAUACUCACUUUCUUUCGAAGUUAUUUUUAUCUAAUACUUUUUUUUUACAACAAGAGUAUACCUACAUAUUCGAAACAAGCACAUUUCAUCAACAUCAAUUGUACCUAUAACCCUUAACAUAACAAAGAAUAAAGACACCUGCUUGCAAACAAUCACAUCUCAUGAAAGAAUAAUAAAGAGUUUGAAAGCCACAUAUACUUAAAUGAUCAUCUCAUCGACCAAGGGGUAAAAUAGACAUUUUGAAACAUUUGAAGGAUAAAACAUGUAAAAAAUAUUCUCCUUUAUACUACCUUUUAUAUAGAUAGCAUAUAUGUAUAUAUAUAUUUGCAAUAUAUAAGUUUAUCAAAAUUUGGUCCAUGAGAUCUAGUCAUAUAUUAUUAACCUUUUCAUUUUUGAUUUGAUUUAAGAUUCUCUCUAUUUUAAGAACUGCUUUGUUGAUUUACAUCAAAGGUAAUAUAGUCAUUAGCCCUUUUUAGAUUCUGAUUAAAAUAGUUUUUUUUAUGACUAAUUAAUUAGGAUGCUUAUCUAAUUCCCUUUUUGAUAUUUUUAUAAACAAUGAAUAUAAUAAUAAAUAAGAAAAAACUACCCUUUUCCCUCCCUAAGUGUUGAAGGAUAUGUAUAUUUGAUUCCGAGUUUUACAAAAUAUAUAAUUUUAACCCAAAAUUUAUAAAAAUAAAUUCAUUUAUCCCUAGUUUACAAAGUAUAUCUCUUUAGUCAUCGUAAAAGCUUAAAUUUUAAAAGUCUCUCAUUAUUGUAAAUUAGAAAAAUAAAAUCAUCAAAUAUCAUAUAAUUAUUAAAAAGAAGAUUUCAAGCACGAAUAAAACCUUUUUAAAAAAAUUAAAGAACUAAAAAUUGCAAUAUUUUUUUAAAUUGAAGAACUAAAGUGAGGGAGACAUUCUUCAAAAUUUAGGCACCAAAACCAUCAUUUUUCCUUACGAAAAAGAAAAAGAAAAGUGGGCUUAAGGAAAUGCUGAGAAUCAAUGGGCCAGAAAUAGAAAGAACGGGCCGUGAAGAAAGAAGGGCAAAAUAGUAAAAUGACCAAAGUCUUCCACCGUAUUUCUUCAAAACUUCCCCCAUUGAAACAAAGAACAUCAAAACAAACCCCCCUCUCCUCUUAAAAUCCCCUCUUCUUUUAAUCUGCCAUGGCCGCCAUAUCCCCUCAUUUCUCCAUUUUCAUCUUCUACAUUUCCCUAAUCUCUCUCUCUCUUCCCUCAUCCCUUUCUCUCUCCUCCACCACCAUUCACGAUCUCCUCCGCUCCAAAGGCCUCCCACCCGGCCUUCUCCCAAAAGAAGUGAAAUCCUAUUCUCUUUCUCCAAACGGACUCCUCAAAGUGUUCUUGGAUGGUCCUUGUUUAACCAAAUACGAGAACAGAGUUAUUUUUGAAAGCGUUGUUACAGCUAAUCUCAGUUAUGGAAGUCUAAUCGGCGUUCAAGGUCUCACUCAGGAAGAGCUCUUUCUAUGGCUUCCUGUUAAAGAUAUAAUCGUUGAUGAUCCUAAAUCUGGUUUGAUUCUGUUCGAUAUUGGUGUUGCUCAUAAACAACUCGCGCUCUCCUUAUUCGAAGAUCCGCCUAGUUGCAAAUCGCAGUCCAAAGGUAUAGUGAAAUUAAAUUAGGGUUUCCAAUUAUUUAAUUUCCUCGAUUGCUGUCCUGAAUUUGGUUUUUCUGUUGAAUAUUCGAUCUGAGGGAUUUGAUUAAUUUAGAUAUAUAUAUAUUUUUACUUAUUUUUUGUGUAGGGGUUUUGAGGAAUCAUGUGAGGAAGGAGAAAGGAUUUGAAGGUUUCAGAUAGAAAUGAGGAAGGAAAACGCCAAAAUUUCUGCUGGAAAAUUUUGUCUUUUUUUUUUUUUUUCCAUAAUGGUUAUAUAAGUAAAUUAGUUCAAAUAAUAGUUUAUACUGUAAUACGAGUUGAGUUUUUAUUUAUUUUAUUUUAUUUUUUGUAUAAAAAAGAAAAAAAAAGAGACGAUUUUCCUUUUGUUGGAAUCCUAUGCCUAUAUUUGAUUUUGCAAUUUUAUUUUUUUUAAGUAUUUGAUAUUGUGUAGGGUAAAUCUUUAAUAAUGACGGAGAAAAUAUGUACAUAUAUAUAUCAUUAGCGUUAAUACAUGUCUUGUCCUUUGCCAACUCAUCAAUAAUGUUUUCAAUUAAUUAAUUAGUUUUUUUUUUUGGGGGGGUCUAGUCUUGGUUUGAAGCUCAAACUUCAAGGGUUUUACUUUGAUAAAUAAUGAAGCUUUGUUAAAUGUUUUUCUUUUAAACAAAUUUAUGAAUUAAUAUUUAUUUGAGUAAAUAGUAAUUAAGGUGAUUGUAUAAUUGGAGGUUUAUUUGUAGGAAAGAACCAUUUAUUUAUUUGAUAAUUGAAUGGAGCAUUUGAUGGAAAAAAGGUGUUUGAAUUAAUGUUGAGUAAGAUAGAGAUUAGAAGUAAAAUGAAGAGAUAGUUUGAUUAUGAUUUAAAUGGAUGCAUGUGUAUGGUGGAGUUGGUUAUGGAGAUGGUUGAUUAUGUUUAAGAAAGAAUAAGUAAUGUGAUGUGAUGCAUUUGGAGGAAGAAAAAGGGUGGGAAUUGGGAUAAGUAAUAAAUGAAAAAGAAAAAAAGAAAAAAGAAAAAAGAAAAACAGUGAGUGAAGAGAGGAGGAAUAAAGAAGGUUUUUAAAAAUGAUAAGUGUGAAAGGAAAAGCCAGAGAUCACGGACAGAAAUUGGGGGAAGGUAAAGGGUUGAUUAAAUUAUUAGGGUAGUGUAAAGGAGAAUAAUAAUAAUAAAUAACAAAAAUAAAAAAGAAGAAAACGGAAUUAAUAUUUGGGGUUUUAAGGUGUGUGAACUGUGAAAGGGAUCUUCUACUUUUAAUUCCCUUUUUACGCGGGAAAUCUCACACUCCAUUAUGAGUUGGGCUCCACAUUUUGUCUCUCCUGCCCCCACACCCCCACACCCCCUACCUCAAUGCCUCAAUGCCUCAAUGCCUCAAUCCUCCUUUUUCUUUUCUUUCUUUAAAUAUUCUUCUCUUCAAUAUUUAUACGCUCACUUCUUUAAUUGCUAUUGCUAGGUUCAUAUUUUUAAACAUAUUUCUUAUGCCUUUAUGGGUUCAAUUUUAUACCAUUUUAAUUUAUAUUUCUAUUACAUUGCACAACAACUUACAAACAUAUCAUUAUUAUAUUAUUUAUAUAAAUAAUAAACAACAAUUAUUUAUUUAUUCUUUAAUUUUAUUUUUAUAAACUUUUAGAACUCUUCAUCAAUCAUUUUUACAUUUUAUCCAUAUUUCUAUUCAAAUUUAUGGAAAAUUAUGACAUCUUUUUUCUUCAAUAUUGACAUUUUUUAACUUUUCUUUGGUUGAUAUCCCUAUACUUUAUGAAUGUUUAUUUGUGUAACAUUCCAAAUUUUUAUUAAUUAUCUUAAACAAUUUCCACUUAUCUCGAGGGUUUGAGCUAAAAGAUUAUUCAUGAUUGAAUUUAUGAAAUUUUAAAAUAACUGAUUUUUUUUUAGAAAGAUUUAGUUAAUUAAAAGAAUUGAGAAGUUGAGUUGAUUUAGAAUCUUCAAAACAAAAGUUGGGUUUGGUGAAAUUAGAAUUAAAUUAAGUAUAUAUAUAUAUAUAUAUAUAUGAGUAUGUAUAUUUCAUUAUGAAUUUGGAUUUUGGUGGAAUAUGAUAUUAAUUAUUUGGUUUUGUAUAAAUAAUUAAUAUGAAAAAGAAAAGUCAAUUUGUAUAAUGAUAUAUAAUUAUAAUUGUUGAAAAAUAAGAUAAUUAACGAGGAUAGAUGAUUGAAUUGAUUGGAUGAGAAAAGAUAUGACACCUGCUUGCUCGUCACGAGACGUGAUGUGAUGUUAGUCGAAGUCGUUCACCUCCGAAAAUAACCUCAACUAACACAUAACAUGAAAGCGUGAAACAAUCAACAUCAAAAGUCUUUUAACUUGAAAUACUUUUUAUUUCAGUGUAACUCAUAUGAAAUCUUUACAAAAAUACAAUGGAAAUCGAAUAAAUCAUGAAGUUAUGAAUAUUUGAACAAACACAAUGUCCUUGUAUAAUGAAAAUUAAGUUGGCUUGGCAGCAGUAUAUUCAACAUGCAGAGAUCCACAAUUUGUACCUGAAAAGUGAAAAAACAUUUUUGAAAGGAUAAGUCGAAAGACUUAGUGAGCAACUUUUUUAUAAAACAUGAUUAUCAUAAACAUUUUAGUAUAAAACCGAAAAUACAUUUAUCAGUAAAUAGUCAUAACAUGAAACUUAAAGCAUUUUCAUAGCUUUUCGAAGACAGUCCUCCAUAGCCACGGGCAGUAUUUACACCUUUGUCCGAAGAUGGAACAGUCGAUGGAUAGCUAACCCUCCUCCUUUAAGGCAUGAUAAUAUACCCUUCCUGAUUAUCCAUGGUUAAAAAUAGGUUCGUCAACCGUACCAUCAAUAUGGAGUUAACCACAUGUAUACACUAGGUCUCAUAGAAUAUUCGGGCAUGAAUAAAAAACACUUGAAAAAAUGAAAUGUUUCCUUGACAGUUUUGAAACAUUUUCUUGAAAUCAUGAAAUUAUAAUGUAGCUUGGAUAUAUUAUUUCAGUAAACUUUAUCAAUAUAACAUAGCUUGUAUAAGAACUUGAGAUCAUGUUUAGCAAAUUAUUUUAUGAGCUAUUGCUUGUAUAACAUGAAAACAUGUUCAAUAAAUAAUUUAGAAAUCAUGGUGUUACUCACAAUCACUUGAAUAUAGCUUUGGCCUCAUGGAUUCUUCCUAAUCCUCCUUGUCCUGAAAAAUUUAUAUUCUAUCCUCGAUUAAUUCCUUGAAAAUGAAAAUAUCAAAAAGUUUCUUUAAAAUUUUCAAAAAUAUCAAGACAUUCCAAAACAACUCGAAAACAACCAAUUGGAGCCCAAUGACAUGGUGUAGGGGGCUGGUCACCACGCGUGUGCAUGGCCUUGGGGCCUACCGCAUGCUUGACGUCUACCCAGCGCCCCUUGCAUGCAUAUAUAACACACGCGUUGGUGCUUCCCGCACACCAUGUGCCACACUAACCUCUUAAGGCAGGGUCAUGCGUGCAGCCUAAGCAUAUGCCUUGUCGCUCGGUUGUGCCAUGACCUUGUCAUAUGCGUGCAAACUGACCUAAAAUAACCUCUAAUGACUAAAACACUCGUCCAUCUCGUCUUACAUGCAUGACUCGUAGCCACUACCUAGACACUGUUUAACUUUCAAAAUCAUGACCCAUAUUUGAAAAAUCAUAAUUUAUAAUUUAUAAUUCUUUUGAUAAAACUUCCAUCUAUAAAGUUACUCUAAAUUGUAUUAACUUUCUUACCUCAAAUUUGCGAGGAAAAUUCCAAAUAAUGAGUCUUGUAGCCCUCUGGAAGUGCACUUUACUCAAAUUCACCCAUGAAAUGACUUUCUCACUUUUCCUUGAUGAAAAUGCAAAUAUCCUUAAAUCCAAAAUAUACAAAAACCCUCAUAAACUAGACUCAAUUUUUUAACUUUCAAGACCAAAAUGAGUGAUUUUGUAUAAGUAAGUUGUGAGAAAUUCACUGCUGAAGUUGGCCUAUUUAUAAAUUCCCUUGCAUGCGAUUAAGAUGAUACUUAAUCCUUGAUUAGACUCACCUCUUAUGCAUGUACUUGCACCUCAUCACCUCCUCCAUGUCCUCCUUGAUCAUAAAAUGUAUGAUGACAUGGUUAGGACAACUGGACUUACGUUUAACCGAAAGCCCUAGUCAUGACACGUUGAUGCCUUAAACACAUGGCUAACCUCCAUGGUCUUGCUGCAAAGCCUUGGCCGCCUAGUCUCCUCGCAUGUCCAAGCCUUCCUCACCUAGCUAACCUCUUAAUCAUCGAGAUAAAAUGCUAAGCAAGUCUUUCUGGCAUGACAUGCCCAUGUCUUCCUCGCAUGAUAACCUCUAAACACUCGGCCGCAAGCCUUCUUCACCUAGCACUCCUCCUCGCGUGGACAAGCCUUCCUCAGCCAUACUAACCUCCAAUUCCAGCCUCCUUGCCAAGCCUAAACACCUAGCCACCCCUCAAGGUAUCCUUCUCGCCUAGCUAACCAAACACCUAGGCAUCACCUUUGAAGGUUAGUUUCUUUACUUGGUCGCCUACUCCACGUCCAAACGCCUAGCUUGGAGGUUCUUAAACCUCUUCUUGUCGUCCAAUGACCCUUCCUUGGAUGUUUUCUUAGCCUUUCUUUGUCGUUCAUACUACCUCCAAAUGCCUAGUGACUUAAUUUUGACACUUCAGUAAAAAUGUUCAACUUUUCUCUUUUCCUCAAGUUUAAAAAAAUCUAAAUUCCAAGUAUUUUAUUCUUUUUUCUAUAAAUUUUAUUUUCUCUUGUCCUUGACUGAUCUUAACAAGUUUUAAAGGUUUAAGAAGUUUUGGGGUUUCACAUAAAGCCCCUUCUAAUUGUAUUUCUCUUACAUGGGAGGAAGAAUACAAUGACACAAAGUUAAAGAAUGAAAGAGCAUCCGAAAAGCCAAACCCACAUAAAAAAAUCACCUAAGAAAGAGACUCCAAACAAAAAAAAUAUGACAUGAAGAAUAAUUACAAAAAGAUUUUGACACCGGCACCCAAAGAAACAUGGAAUUUGACAAGAUGGUAUUGUCAAAACCCACUUCUGGUCAAAAUCACUUUAAAUCUACAAUAGAGGGUUUUGAACUAUAAUAACAUACAACAAAUGACAAAGAAAAUGCAAAACUUUGCACUGAGAGUUUUGAACUACAAUAGAAAUUCCACAAUUUGGGUGGGAGAGGGGAGGGGGGCAUGUCUAAAUGAUCAAAAGCAACACCUCAACAAACAAUAGCUCCUUGGGUUAACUUUGGUAUGUAACAAUUCAACAACACUUCAACAAAAGCAACACUUCAACAAAGACUAUCAUAGUUGCAAGAUAAUAAAACAAUAUCUCCUUAGCUAACCUAGGUUAGCUAGAUAUCUAGGUUAAAAAUAAUUUGGCUUGUAUAUAUCUCCUUGUGUUAUAUAUAGUUGAUUAUCUAGGUUAUAAAACAUUCUUGGUCCCUCAAGAUUCAUAAAAGUAACAAUUUAGUCCUUACGAAAAUUUUAAUUUUGUAUAAAUUUAAUUAAGCUAGUCUUUGAACUUUGGUAUGUAACAAUUUUAUCCUUACACUUUCAAAUUUGUAACAUUUUAGUUUCUAAUGUAAAAUAAAUAAUCAAAACUUUAUGUCAUUUUUUAUUAUAUGAUGUAGAAGACCUUAUAUAUAAUUUUAUAAAAUAAUGUAGUCUCUCGUUAGUUUAUCAAUUUAUUUACGCAUGAAAUCUCAUUAAAUUUUUACAUUAGUUUCUACAAUUGGGACUAAAUCAUUAUACAUUUUUAAGUUCAAAAACUAAAUUAUUACAUAGUAAAGUUGAAGGACUAAAUUAUAACAAAAUUAUAAAAAAUUUAAAGAUUAAAUUGUUACUUCUAAAGAUAAGUGAGUGAAUGUGAUUUUCAACAGUUUUUUAUGUAUUGAAAGUAAAUUUUGAAAAGGGUUAUAACCUAAAUUAAUUUUAUUCAUUGUCAAUGAUUAAUAGAUUAUCUCUAUCAAAAAUUUAUGAUUUAUUCAUUUUAAAUUUGAAUGAAUAUAAUUUGGGAACAUAGUUGUCAAAAAAAGAAAAACAAAAAUUGAACAUAUAACAAAUAAUUGACUCGAAAGUUGUACAUUUUAAUUUGGUUUCAAGUGCCUAAAGGUUAUUUCUCCUUUUUUUUUAAAGCAAGAAUGUUGAGAUUAUCAUUAUUUAGUAGGUGCAAUGUUAUGAUCAAGAGCUGUCCCAACUUGACUUAUUAUAUAAUUAGUUUUGUAUGUAAAUCUUCAUGUAUUUUAUUGUCUAUUGAAAACAAUUUGGUGGGGGCAAAAAUAAGGAACUUCCAAUAAUUAUGUAUAUUUCUAUUUUAAAAACCCAAUCUCAGAAAAUAUUUCUUUUUUCAAUUUUAGUUAUCUAAUUUUAAUCUAUACAUUUCAAUAUAUUUAAUUUUGUAUCUCAAAUUAACUAAUAAUAAUAAUAAUUUUCUUACAAUUUUUUUAAAAAAAUUAUACAAAGAAAUGUUAAUAGAUAAUAAAAGGUUUUAUUAGCGCAUAUUUUAGAAUUAAUCUGUAUAGUUUGAUACUAAGAUAAUUAAAUGUUAUUUAACUUAGUUUAAUUACAUUUGCCACUUAGGUUUAGCAUUUAAAGUUCUUUGAACAUUGUUGGGGAUGAGAAACUAACUCUAAUGAAAGAUUUCAACAUCUCUUCACGUCUCUCAAAUUUUUGUCAACACUUGGUCGUCAUGAAAUUUUUAUUCACGUGUUCUAAUUUCUCAAGUGUCAAUCUUUUAUGUUUAACAAGAGUAGUUCUAAGUUUACGACUAAUAUGCAGCUAAAUAGGGUUAUGUGAUAAAAAGUGCAUUUUUAUUCAUGCAUUGCUAUCAUAAGAAUCAAACACAAGUUUUCUCCUCUGCCACCCAAGUGCAAGCGAAGAGAAGUUUUCUGGUAAGUCUAGAGUUGAACAUAGGAAAUUUAAGCCCCUAUUUUAUCGUAGUAAAUGAUGGGUAUACGCUAUACAGUAAGAAUAAGAACAUUAUGAUGUUAGUUCUAGAUAUUUACACUACUGUGUUUGGCGGUGUAAGGUGAAUAUGAGAGUAUGACAUAAUGUGAUAUGAACUCAGUGUAGACAUGGCGAGGAAGGAAAAUUGAAUUAACUAACGACAAUGAUUAAUGUUUUAAGACUUUGAGGUGACACAAAGUAUAUAUUAACUAAGAAUUAAGGCGAGCAACUUGCCAGCGCUUCUGCCAUACUUGCUCCCCUUUCAAGGAUGCAAAACUCUUAGUUAAGCUAUGAUUUAUAUCCAAUCAUCUCAAAUACAAUAACAGUAGCUAAUCCUUAUACUUAGGACGUACACCUUUCAGUGCUUUCAACACACACAUCAACCUCAUGGUUAAACAGAGAAGGUCUAUCUCAACCUCAUCCCUGACCAGGCUGAUAAAACUAUUUUCACUCAUGUCCAAUUAGCCCUUUUCCUUGAGCCUGCUUUAUCAACUAUUUCUCAUUUCUUAUCUUAUUAUGGUCCUACACAUUGGACAAAUUGCAUUUAGAUCAUCUAUGGGACGUGGUCAACCGACUCAACAUCUUUGUUAGACAGACUAUGUUAAGACGUAGGCUAUGUUGGGCCUUUGACCCUCAAACUAAGAUAAGAGGUUCAACCUCGGUCAAUUAAGAUCGACCAAGGCCAAUGUAUCCAUGAGCCUAUUAGUUUAGUCUUUUCUUGCUCUCUUUUGACUAUUUUACCAUUGAUUCUAGAAUCAACGGGUAAGACGGACAAUAAACUAGUUUUGAAGUGUCAAUUUAAGUUUAAUAAAAAUUUAAAUUCAAAGGUACAGACACUAAAAUGAAAAUACUCUCUAAAGUUCAAAUACAAUUAAAAAAAGAAGAAGAAUUUAAGGAGGGUUGAAACCGUUGGAGAGAUUAAAAGUAAAAAUGGAUUUGGUUGGAGAGAUAGUAAUCAUUCAAAAUAUUGAAAAAGAAAAUGAAAAAGAGAGAGAGAAAUAAAGAUGGAAAGAAAAAGAAAGAGACAAAGUAAUAUAUUUAUUAGAGCAUUUUGUUGUAUUUAAUAUGUAGAAUAAAAUGAUUAAGAAUGAUUGUAUUGGUGAGCUUUUGAUAGGUUCUAAAUAAAUAAAGUGGUGAGGAAAGAAGACAUUAAAAAAUAAAAAUAAAAAAACUAACUAAAAUUAUGGUGUUAAUUAGACUUCUUUCGAACUUCAGGGGCCACCUCUUAGACUUUUAACACACUUCUUUUCCUUUUUUUCUUCCCUUCAAAAUAUGAAUUUAACUCUGCAUUUUUCUUUUUCUUUUUUUUUUUUUUUGUUUUGUUUUAAGCACUUAUUACAAGAUACUUGUGUUUUAUUAUUAUUUAGUGAAUGAAUAUUACAAAAUCAAGCAACAAAACUCUCUCUCUAAAUACAUCCUUAACAACAAAUUCAUCUUCAUUUACUAUUUUAUUUGUAGAUGGUACUUUCAAACCUAUUUUUUUAAAAAAACAACCACUAAAUUGUGUACCUAUUAUACAAAAGUAAGAGACCAAAAGGGGUAAUUUUCCAUCAAAAAGGAAUUUAUGUGUCAACGCUCCUGCAUGCUUAAGUAAAGUUUUGUUUCUAAUAUAAGAUUUAUGUGUUUACGAACCACUAAUUGGAUAUUUUAUUGAAAUAAUGUUGUUUACAAAACUUAUUACAAAAAUAUGUUUUUUUUUAAACAAUUUAGACAAAUAAUUGGUUUUAAACAUAAGGUCGAGCGUUGAAUUUAAGAAAUUUUUUUAAUAAGUGGCCCACCAUCUAAUUUUCUUUACUCUUUUUUAGUUACUUUCUUAACUAAAGUUUAAUUUCAAAUUAUUAUUAUUAUAGAUAUUUUUUAAAAAAAAACUUAAUUGUUUAAUUUUUACAAAAAAAAAAAAGUAAUUUUUAAUUUUCAAUUAUCAUAUAUACAUAUAUAUAUAUAUAUAUAUAUAUUAAUAAAAAAAAACAUGAUUUUAACCCUUUUAGAAUCGUUAGUCAUAUUAAUAUAGUUGUGAGAGUAUGACUAAAAACUAAAGGUAGUAUCAAAUUUGAUCCUAGCCUACUAUAAAAUAUGAAAUUCAUAUCCUAAUUUUGGUAGGAUCAAAAUAAAUCCUACUCAAAUAAUAGUUUCAUACAAUCAUCUAAUAAUUUCUUACUUUUUCUCUAAUAUUCAAUUAUUUUUAUUUUAGACCUCUUGUCUUCAUGAACAUAUAAGUGUCAGUUGAACUAAACUCAUGUUGGCAAUAUUCAAUUUUCUUACUGGACUUAGACAUUCCCAAUGUAACGUGAGGGUGGUACAUUUUCUUUGACCAAAAUUUGAUAUCCUGUGCAUGUUACUUGUACGUGUGUGCAACAUGUAGAGAGUAGUAAAGGGGUGAACAUAAAUAUUGGGGAGAGACCUACACGAUCAUGUACCAAAAUCUCAAUAAUCUUGGUAAACGAUCGUUUAUAUUUAUAGUGAAAGAAAAAGAACAUGAUACUGCUAAUGGAAAAAUAAUAAGGAGAUGACGCUGAAUAUGAGAUAUGACAAAGAAUGAAAAAAAUAUGGAAUAGUCACGGAGAUAUCACGAAUAAGAAGAUGGGUAAAUAUGGAGAAGGAGAAUGAGAACUAAUAAGAUGAGUAGACAUUCAACGCGAAAUUCAAAACUAAUAAGGGCAAAUCUAGAAUUCAUACAAAUAUUGAGUGGUUUCAUAGACUUUUAUUUUUUUGUUAUAUGGGCUACAAAUAUUUUUUAAUUUUGUUUUAUAUAUGUAAUUAACUUUUUUUAUUGAUUCAAUCUAGUUUAAUUUUUGUUUUUAUGUGAUCUUUUUAUUAAUUCAAAUUUUAUUCUAGUGUUUUUUGUAAUGAUUAAUUAUGUAUAUUGUUUGUCGUUUUUUAUAUAGAAAAUGACAAAAAUUAUGUGUCAUUUAUAUUGUUUACAAAUGACCCUAUGAUAAACCUCCAUGUGAAAACUUUGGUGCACUUAUAUGUGACUCUGCCUUCAUUUGUUAGUCAAGCCAUCCGUUGAACCAUUUUGCUAUUUUGGUGAGUACUUGAUUGGGUUUUUGUACUCCCAUUAAAUAUUUAUAUUUUUAUUCUAAAUAGUUUAAAUUAUGGAUUUAAGUUGGAUUAUUUUCUUUUGGUUUGAUUGGUUUUUUUUUUUUGGAUUAGUCAUUUAUAUAAAUUAUACCCAAAGGUUGAUUACCAAAAUUGUUGGACUGAGUUAAAUGAGAAUUGACUGUCAACAAAAGAAAUAUUGUUUUAGCUAAUCUCAAUGUAAAAGAUUCUACUACUAGACAUUCAAAAGUAAAAUUAAAAUAUAUUUUUUAUUAUGCAUUGAUGUAGCUAAGAAGCAUAAUGUGAUUGAUAUGGAUGAUUGAUAUGUUAUGAUUGAUAUGAUAUGACUGAUAUGUUAUGAUGAAUGAUAUAUUAAUCACAUGAUAAUGACGUUAUGAUUGAUAUUCAUGUCAUGUUAUGACAUUUAUGAUAUGUUACAUGCUAUGAAUGAGUGUUUUGUUAACUUUAUUCAAUAACAAGCGAUUACUUAAAAAUUUACGGACUUUAAAUAAUAUAAAAUGAAUGGAUUACAAUGGUAAACAUCCAUAAAUUAAAAAUUUAACGAAAACAUAUAUUUUAAAAUUAAAAAAAAAAUUGGAAGAAAUUUCAUCAAUUUAAAAAGAUAAGGAGUACACAUUUUUAAUAAGUUCCACUAACAAUAAAAUUAAUCUUCAUAAAAAAAAUAGACUUUUUCGUUGGAGAGAAAAAAUAGAUUAGUAUUAAAUUUUAAGAAUUUAGUUUUUAAGAACGGAAAAUAAAAUUCAAAUUUAAUAAACAUAAAAAGAAUUAUAUGAAAAAUAAAAACAAAAAAAAAGUAGAAUUUAGUUUUUAAGAACAAAAAAAAAAAAAUUGAAAAAAAAGUGAAAAACAACCCUACUUUACUAAAUAGUUUUAGAAAAAAACAUUGUUAAUAUAAUUAUUCCCCACUGAUUGGUACAAGUAUUUAUUACUACUUGGAAGUUUGGUCCUUACAAUGUGUUGCUUAGGCUGUUGGUCAUGCAACUCAAUGUUAGCAUCGGGUUUUUUACCUCAAAAUAUAAGAUUAAGUAGGAACAAUAAGCAUUGGAACUUGGAAGUGCAUGACGAGGCAACUUGGUGACGGUGCCAUGCACUAGUAUCAGUGUUUUGACUUACAACCCUUGAGUUCUCCACCGGCUUCUCCUUUUCACAUAGAAGAAGAAUGGUACGAUUUUCACCGUCCAUCUGCUGGCUCCUUCAACCUAGCCUCACAUUUGAUGGCAUUGGCUGUGCAUGGUUUUCAGAUCUUGGCCUUUCCAUCAAGGCGAUCCUAGCCUGAAAGUAUCCCCACUGGUUAUGAACAAAGAAAAAAAGAGGAAUGAAAGAAACUAUGGAUCCUAGACAGUUCUAUAUCAUAUGACAAAAAAGCACAACCACUGCUAGAGGAGUUUUUUUCAACUUAACAUUAAAUUGUUAUGGCUUCACCUUUUCUUUUGUUCUGGGAUUAAGGUUCUGCUUUCUAAUGGCUCUCCUUCUACAUUGAUGGGCUUCAUGAAGUUUGGUCGUCAUCGAAUUUGAUUUGCUUCAUAAAAAAGGAUCACUAUGUUGUUUUUUGUGUCCAAUUUACCUCAUUUGUAUUUUAUCAUUUAUUGAUUGGCUAGUACAUUUUUAUCCCUCUUCUCCUCGUUCUCAUUUGGUUGUAUCUUUUUCUAUUUGGGUUUUGCUUUUGGCUUAUCGGGUGUUCUCCUCUUAUAGGCUAUCUCUAUUGGAAUGGAUCCCCUGACUUGGCCGUUUUCACUCUAAAUGUUUUUUUUUUUUUUAUCAACGUUUUUAGGAGCGAACAAAAGAUUUGUCUUUUUCCCAUUAAAUUGUUUUUACAAUGUUCUAUUUAUUUACAAAAUUUUAUUUUACCUCAAAUUUGUCAACUAGUUUUGGUUGGGAAAAUUGUAUGUAGGUGGUAAUGACCCCUAUUAGAGAUCUCAAGAAGUCGGGUUACUCACCUUUCUUUUUUCUUCUUCUUUUGCAUCCAUGAUUUUCAUACUUUUUUUAUGGAAUUAGCUGUGCUUUAGCACUUCACCGUUUCUUGUGGUUGUUUUUACUUUUGGGUGAUUGAGUAGUUAGUUUCAUUUAAGAAUAUGUCUCAAAUUCAUGAAUUGUUCUUAUAUCUUUUAGUGGAAUAAUAGUUGAAGCUGCCUUCAGAAGACAUGUCGCACAACAAGUUGUUUGUUAAAAAGACGAAGUCUGGGAAGGUGAUGAGGGUCAGUAAAUUACUAAUCUUGGGCCUUAUUUUAUACAUCUCAUUAGUUUCCAUCCUUUUAUUGUUACUUUGUUCCUUUGGGUUUUUGUUCUUCAUGACAGCAAGUGAGAGAACACUAUCUUCGAGAUGAUAUAUAUUGUGGGCUUCGCUUUGCAAAAAUGUGAGUCUUCAGUUGCUUGUUUGGGUGCUUCUACAUCGCCAAUUCUAGUUCUCGACACCAAUGUUGUUCUUACUCAGGUUAUUUUCGUCUGGUUUCUGUUGUCAACAUUGAGCUUUCAACUUUUAGUGUUUUAUGAAAUGAUGCGUUUUUACAGAUUGGUUUGCUUGAGAAUUCUGCUAUUGAUGACGUGGUUAUGCUAUCAGUUGUGCUGGAUGAGGUUAAGAACAAGAACCUAUCUGUUUACAACAGAGUUAGAGCUCUCUGCAGCAAUCCCCUGUGGAGAUUCUUUGUUUUCUUUAACGAGCACCACAAGUAUGCUUUCUAUAUAUGCUUUCUAUUUACACUUUCGUUAUUGCUGCCUUUCAGAGUCAUCUCUAAAUAAUAUUGUACUAUUUAAUAAACAACAGGAUAAAUUCACACUUGGCUUGGAGAUUCAAAAUCUUUCAUCUUUUAUUGUAUUUCUGAACUACAUGAAAAUUUGGGAUAUUGCUAUUUUCUUCUAACUCAUUUGCUAAUACCAACUUCUAGUUAGAAAUUGUGCCAAUCAAGAGUUGAUUGGAGUACCUUUGGUUUUACUUCUACGUACAUCAAGCUAGUGUGUGGUUUUAUGCAUCUUAAGUAAAAACUGAAAGAAAAAACUAACUAUGACUUAUAGGAGCUUUACUAGGGCUUAACUAGUUAUUGUAAUUGCUGAAUGAAGUAUGAUGCCUAAGUUUUUCAUAGUAAAUGAACCUACAACUCUAAUGUGGUGUGUUUCCCUAUAAAUCUUUUUAUAACCUCCCAUGGGAUAAACUAUCAAAAUAUGUACGGAAAAACUUGAACUUUCAUGGUGGCUAGAAUUUUGAGUUUCCUUUAAUGAUAUUAUUUUUUGGCAGGGAUACAUAUAUUAAGGACAUGAGUGGAGAAAGUAAAAUGAUCGAAAUGAUGGAGGUAUUCUCUUGAUAUUACAUAAGUUGAUGCUGUAAUGUUGUACUGAAGUUGGACUGUAUAUAGUUCUUUCAUCCAUCCUCUCUAUCCCACUUGGACAGUAUUUAUAGCUGAUACGUAUUCAUGCUAACAUUCUAGUUCAUCAUUUACAGUAACUGCCAAAGUAUUCUCUAUGUUUGUUUUCAUAAGCUAAUAACUGAGAUAAAUCAUAAAUGCUUGCUUAAAUUGUGUUGACAGUUAUCUCUAACAUUGUGAUUCAGCCAUUCGAGUGGCUGCUCAGUGGUAUCAAAAUCAUCUUGGUGGUGCUACUUGUGUUCUACUCAUAACCAAUGACAGAGAGAAUAGGAGAAGGGCUAUGGAAGAGGGAAUUUGUGCAGAGACAAGUAUGUUAGAUGUUUAUUUAUUUUUAGCUUUGCUUCAAGCCUCUUGGUGUCUACCAUGUGGCGUGCUUGUAAUGAUUAUGUUCUCUCUCUUGCUCUCAAGCUUUUUAUGUCAUGCUGGUUAAUUUGUUUGGUCUUUACAGUUGAAUCUUAUGUUAGAUCAUUGGGGCAAACUCAUUUACUUGAUCUGUUAGUGCAAAGUGCAAAUACAGAUGCAAAUAAGGAGGAUGUUGAAGAUUUGAGGCCAUCGAAGAGAAAGGUUCUUUACUCCGAGGUAUUACAAUGAAUAUGCUAAACUAUAUUUAUUUCAGGAAAAAUACUAGAGUCUUAUAAGGUUUCUGGUUAUUAACAUAUCCUACUCUUCUUUCUUUCAGCAUAAACCCAUGUCAGAAAUUGCUUCUGGUUUGCAUCGUGGUAUAUAUCAUCAAGGAAAGCUCCGUGUUAAUCGAUACAACCCAUUUGAAGCAUAUGUUGGAAGUGAGAGUAUUGGUGAUGAAAUUAUUAUUUAUAGGCGUACCAACAUGAACCGGGCUUUUGAUGGUGAUGUUGUGGCAGUUGAACUUCUAUCUCGAGAUCAGUGGCAUGAAGAGAAGUCUCUGACUAUAGCAGACGAAGGUAAUUUUUUUUUUUUAUUCUCACGAAUAUUUUAUUAAUUGAAAACUGAGAAGGGUAGUGUGAAUUAUGUAAGGAUCUAACGUACAAAUGUGUGUGUGGAUGUUUGUGUAGGGUGAAGGGGGGAUAAGGAUUAGGUUAGAGUCAUAUUUUCACGAAUUAUGAGAAUUCUAAUUAUAUGAUAACUUAAAUAUGAAAAUAUAGAAAGUUUAGCAAAUUCCCUGAGUGAAAAUGACUAAAGACUUUCCUUUGUGUUUCCAAUAUAAAUUUCUAUUCAGUAUGGUUGGUGGCCUGGCUGGUGGGAGGGGGCAAAGGAGGAUUAGGUUGGGAGUCUGAUUUUCAUGAGUUAUUACAAUUUCAAUUAUAUGCCAACUCCAUGAAGAUGGCAAAAAGGUUAACAACGUCCCUGUCAGGAAGUUACUAAUUAAUUUUCUCUGUAUUUCUAAUUCAAGCUUAAAUUGUGCUUUGAAUUUCACUCUCUCUCAUUCUUUCUCACACACACACGGGCGGUUGUGCACACACACACAAUCCCAUUAUGAUGCACACAUGAUUGUAUUAUUGCAGAAGAUGAUGAGGAAGAAGAUGUUCAUCUUGUUCCUGGUAGGCUGAUGAUGCUCCAACAGCUGCAUCUAGUGGAGAUUCUUCUAGUUCACCACGCCCAGCUGGACGUGUCAUUGGUAUCAGAAAGCUUAACUGGCAUUCGUAAGCUGUUGUGGCAAUUUGUUAGAUUCCUCUGUUCCAUGGGGUGUCUUUUGCUGUACACAUUAUAUGCUUUCUCUUAUACAAAUAAAUACUUAAACAUGUUCUAGAUGUAUAUGUACCCAUAUAUAUUUUUGUGUAUACAGUAUAUAAGAUCAAGAUGACACUAACAUUUGUAGUUAAUGUUGAAAAUAUACUUCCACCUAGCUUUAUAGUUUUUUUUUGGGGAUUUUAUAAAUUUUGUCUUCUAUAUUACAGUUUUGUUUCUUUACUUUUUCAAGAUGGUUGCACAGAUUUUGUACCAUGGUGGAGUUGUUCGUUUGAUGUUUUUGAAAUUAAUGCAGUUAUUGUGGUUCCUUGAAUCCAAUGUCUAUGCCUGCUGGAAGUGGUGGCUUUGCCUCUGCUGUAUUUGUUUCCAAAGAUCAUCAGAUUCCUAAAAUUAGAAUCCAAACUCGUCAGCUUGAGAAUCUUUUGGACAAGAGAAUUAUUGUAGUAGUUGAUUCUUGGGACCGUCUUUCUAGAUAUCCUUCAGAACAUUAGUGCUAUCUAUAGGAGAAGUAGGUGAUCGAGAUACAGAAAGUGAAGUAUGCACAAUCGUUAGAUCAAUAAGAAAGCACUUUGCUAUUCUAUCUCUUAAUAUGCUAUCAAAACACAUGGUUCUUUAGAUGAUUUUCCAUAAUACCUACGGGGUCUAAUAAAUCUUGUUGGAUUUUUAAAACUUACGGCGGUGGGAUUUAAUUUUCAGAUGGUUAAAUAUAUUCAUAUACUAAUAACAUUUAAAAUAUUAUUUUAGGUGGAAGACCGAUUUGGACAUUGAACUUAUGAGCAUAUCAAUUUUGGCCAUAAACUUUGAAUUUCAUCAAAUUGGAUCCUAAAAUAUAUAUUACAAUUUUACCAUUAAUCAAUUUUGAUUAAGUUGCCCACAAAUUUUAACCGAUAGUAUUGUAAAAAUCCUAAAAAAUUCCUUAAUUUCAAUGAAAUAAAGUUUUGUACAAAUAUAAGUUUGACCAAUGCACAAAUAAACCAUGGAAUAACUUUGCCAAAAUUCAUAUACUUGAACAAAAAAACACUUUAGCUCUAUUGGUUUUUUUUUCCCUCUAACUUUUUUUGAUUUCAUAUGGUUUAAUGUGUAAUUUUGUUUUAUUUUAGCUUAAGAGAGUAGGUUGCACUUUAUGUAAGUAGGAGUUUUUUGGGAUGAUAGCUUUAAAAUUGUUAUUCUUUAAGUUUACCAAAAGAAAACUAACUCAACUUAGUCCAACUAUAGGCGGAAGCUUUGAUGCUUUCUGUGUAGGGUGAAGUCUUCAAGACUCACCUUUUAUUUUCUUUUUUUCUUUUUUUUUUCAUUUUCAUGCAAUUGAAUUUUAUUUUAAACCACAAAUAAAUUUUAUUUUUUUAAUAAAAUUAAAUCCUAAUUUUUAAAUUUAAAUAUCCAUUUAUUUUUCUCCCUCCAAUCAAAUUUUUUCAUUUGUUUUAAAAUCAAUUUUAUGGUUAUUGAAACUUAUUGAAAAUAUUGAGUUAAUUUUUAAAUUGAUGAAAUUUUCUUUAAACUUUUUCCUUUAUUUUUUAAAUUUAUGUUACGUUAAUUUUCUAAUUUAUGAAUAUUUAUGGUUGUAAUCCACUAGUUUUAGUACAGUGAGUGCUUUUGAGUUUUGUAUUAAUUUAAGAACAUAAAUUUAUUGUAAAUGCUUUUGAUUGAAAAAUAAUUAAAAUAUGAAAUAGAUAAUUUAAGCAUUUUCAUUCAAGGAGAAAAGGAUGGAUGUGUACUAAAUAUUUCGUUGAUUAAAAUUAGUUGUUACAAUCUUUUUUUUGUUGCCAAAGUUAAUUAAAAUAUUAUUAGUAUAUAACAGUAUAUUGGUUAUAUUUAAAUUAUAUUCACAUAAACUAUAAUACUUAUUAUUAUUAUUUAGUACUUAGAAGAUAAAGAUAUGAGAUAAAAACAAUAUAAAAAUAGGAAUAUUUUUUAAAAUAGCAAAAUAAAUUAAAAUAUUUACAAGUUAUAGCAAAAAAAAAUUGACUAUCAGUGAUAGGUACGUUACUAUUAUUAAAUUUAAUAACUCUACUGUUAUACGAAAAUCAUUUAUUUACAUUAUUUGAAAUGGUAACGUUUUCUUUUAUAAUUAAUUAUGUUAAACAUAAAAUUUUGAAAAGUUUGAAUAAAAUUAUAUCCAAUUUUGUUAGUUAAUCAUUUUCUUGAUCUCGUUGUUGGUGAAAAAAUUUGAAAAUGAUUAAAACGUAAUCAUCAUAUUUCAAAAGAAAAAUAAGUCAUAAUCAUGGUUCUUUUUUCUAUUUUUUAUUAUUUGCUGUAUUUAUUAAUUUUUUGCUUCAUUAUGUAUUUUUUAUUUCGUAACAGAUGAAGAUUACUAAAGAAAAUUGUGUAAAAAUUAAAAUAUUAGCGAGAUACAAGCACUAUAUAAUUAAUAAACUAACGUAAAAAUGAAUUAUAAUGAGAUUAAAAGUGCAUUGUAACCAUCAUCAUAAUUAUCCAUCAAAAAAGAAAUUAAUUAUGGAUUAAAAAUUAAGUACAAAUUUCUUAAUAUUAAUUCAAUAGGUUGAGAAAGAUUUCUGAUUUUAGGUUAAAUGAGUUAAUGUGGAGUUCCACUUUUGGCAAACCUUAGAUAUAUAGUUGAGAUUUAAGUUCAUACAAAUGUUAUUUUCUAUAAUAAUUAGACAAAUAUAAUAUAAACAUUGGAAAAAGAAAAAAGAAAUAAAGAAAUAAAGAAAUAAAGAAACCUUAAAAGAUGAGACAAAAUUAGUGGACCUUUAUUUUUGUGUGUUUAUGGUAUUGGGCCAUGAGGUUGUUUUUCCUGUAUUUACAAAAUCAAUUUUUAAAAUUCAAAUUAAAUAUAAUAUUUAUUAUCUCGUUUAUAAUUUAGAAAGACAUACAAAAAUGAAAUUGGAUGGAUGGUUUGUAAAAUCUAUUUAGAUAAUUCUUAAUUGAUAAAAAUUAUUUGAAAAUGAAUGUAAUUGAAAUAUAAAUGGAGUAGAAGAUUGAUAAUUUUAAUAUAUGAUUUGGUAAAGAUGUUAAGAAAAUUUUAAAAGAUUGGAAAGAAAAUGGAGAGAAAAAAGUAAUAAGUUUUAAAAAAUACAUUAGGAAUAGGAUGAUAUUUUAUAGUAUGUAGAAUGUAUUGGACGUAGGAGUAUGGAGGUUGUAGUUGCAGGAGGGAUAACCAUAAUAAUAUUAUUAAAACAAGACUUAGACUUGAAACCAAUGACUUACCUCUGAAGUUUCCAUCUUCCCGUCUUUACUACCUUUUCUCAAAACUCUAUUCUCAUACCUUCACUUCAACACUCGUUAGGGUUUCAAACCUUGCCUUCACUCUCCAAAAUCAUGCCGACCGUAGCUACUAGAUUCACCUCGAUGGCGACUGCCGGAGUCGGAGUUGUCAUAAACCGUCUUCGAAAAUCCCCGCCUGUUCAGUCAUUGGAGCAAUUGCUUUCCAAUUCCACUCGUCCUGUUUCCGCUCUCUCCCUCAACCCUCUCUUCACCGAUGAAACCGAGCUAGUCAUGGAGGCUGGGGAGCCAGUCCCUAGACUCGUAUUUGAUCGCUUCAUUAACCUUGAAGAAUCAAAGGAGUCCACAGCAGAUUUGAAGGAGGCCUUGGAUGCGUAAGAUCGAUCAUAACUCCUCAUUUUCCCCUAAUUUAUUUGAUUCUAUACUCAAUUUUUCGCCCAUGAUUGUAACAUUUUGCUGGAAACUCUGUUUGCAUGUCUUAAUUCUAGGAUGUAUCUUGAAUCAGAGUUUCCAUUCUCAUCCGAAAUUUCUCUGCCUCUGAACUCUGAGAUAGUACAUAACAGACCAGGGGUGAAGCAUGUUCAUCAAGCAUUUCAUUUGUUAUGCAAUUUCCCUGAAGUUCAGGUAAUUAAUUUUCACGCCAUUAAAUUUGAUUAGUAACCACAGCAUUGAGGUUCAAUGGAUCAAUUAAUAAUAAUUUCUCCAAGUGUUAGAGAAAUGAUAGGUCUUUGAAUUGAAUCUGUCUGUUUCAAUUUUCCAUUUGCUCUUCAGAAUGUUGUCGCCUCCGCCGCCGCGGACCUGAAGGUACAGGAAGCUGUGUUUGAGAAUCCUGAUGUCAAGAAAUUCAUCCAAUCAUUUCAAACCAGUAAUCACAAUCUUCAUUUUCUUUGGAAUCCAAUUUAUCUUUUUGCAGCUGAAAAAAUGUUGUGUUUCUGUUGCAAAACUUGACGAGGUUAAAUUUCAUGAAGGUUCUGAUACCGAUGAGGAUGAAGAUGAAGAAAAUGUUUCCCAGGUGGAGGAAUCAAAAGCAAGCGAAAUAAAAAUGACCAGGAAUCCGAAAGAUUUCGUAGUUAAAAUGGUGAAGAAUGUACUUAGUCAUUUUCCACACUUAUUUGGAUCUUCAGUUGUAGAGGGUAGUUCUGGAUCAGAUGAUAAAGAAAACUCAACCAUGAAAGGUGGAAAGUUUGGAUCAGGCUUUGUGCAAAAGCUCAGGAACCUAAAAAGUUCAGUUGUUGAAAUGGCGACUAACAUACCCAAUUAUCUUCCUAACUUUUAUGGAUCUUCUUCUUCAGCUUCAGAGAGUGUUUCUGGAUCAGAUCAUAAAGAAAAUUCCCAAAGUUCUGUCCCUGGCAUGGGUACAGGAACAUCUAUUACAGGGUUGGCAAUCAUGGUUAUUAUGAUUGCAGUUUUCAAGCGACUUUAGACUCAUAAUAUUCUGCUGGACCUGUGGAAGCAGUGUGUAGACCUCCAAUUAAAGGCUCCAGAGUUUGUUAGCUAUGUUAUAACUUGUACGAGACUUUCUCUUGCUAAAUCUUAAUAGAUAGUACAAGGGAGAUACUUUAUCUUAACAACUCUUUUUAGCUGGAUAAUGGGAUUGAUAUUAUGGAGUUUAUUGAAACUCACUUCCUUAUUCCUCGUAGGGAAUGUUGUAGGUUGUUGUUAUUUCCAUUUUGUUGUUAUUUCCUUUUAAAUGUAGGUUGUUACAACCACUUGGGUAGAAAUAUUGUAGGAUCCAUUCAUAGUUCGAUAAAACUAGUCGAGUGUGGACACUCAUGGCUAAAACAAAAGGCCAAACUGAGGUCCAAGUGGCCAACCGUUUCUCUAUUUCCUUAUUCGUGGCUAGAAUGAGAAAUUGCGAGACACCCAAAAAGGUUUUUAUAGAACUGUAUGAAGAAGUUUGUGGCCAUAAUCUGAGAGCUUCUUUAAAAGAAAUGAAAGUAUUUUUGUGGUGAAGAUUGAUGUUAUGCUGAAACCAUGAGACUCGAGCAAUACUGUAGAAUUAGAAACUGAAAGCAUUUAAUAGGAUACCCUUCCACACAAAGUAGUUGACCACCUCUUCCUUGAAUGUCUCUGGCAAUGUUGGGAGAUUUGUAUGGUGAAUGUCCUAUUUCAGAAUUUUUAUUACAACUUUCUUACCAUCAUAAAAAGUGAUUUUUGUUUUCUGAAACUUGUUUUGGCUUAUGGAAAACACUUUAACUCGACCUUGUAGAUCAUCUCUUCUCUUCUCAGAAGCAAAGCCGGUUAGCAUUGAAGAGUUUAUCAAACAUAGUCUUAUGAUAUUUUAUUUUAUUUCAAUAUUUUAUUUUAUUUAGACAAGUUUAUCAAGGGGUAAAACAAAUAAAUUAAUUAUCUUUGUGAAAGUGCUUCAGAUGACUUUUUUUUUUUAAUUAUUAUUUUUAAGCCACUCGUAGAAAUCUUUUUUGCAUAUUGCAAAUAGACAAAGAUGAGUGUUAUCAAAUACCUACUUAAUGUAAAAACUUGAAUUGGUGCAUGUUACUAUAUAAUUUUACAUAUUGCAAAUAGAUAAGGAUGAGUGUUAUUAAAGAGCUACUUAAUAUGAAAAAAAUGUUUUUGGAAAAGUUAUUAUAAAUAUUAGUAAAACAGAUGUCAUUAUUCAUUAUACUUAGUGUCAUUCUCAUUCACAUCCAACACCUUUGUCAUGUGUCUUGAAAAUACGAGAAUAUUUAAUGACUAUGUAAUCCACUACAUACUUGUCAAAUUGCUUAUAAAUAGUUGCAUUUGGUGGGUUUUGGAAGAUACACUUAUAUUGGUGAAAUUUCUAAAUAAAUGGGAGGAAUUUGCUUAUAAAUCUUUCUUUCUUGUAUUUUGUAUACUCAAAAUUUCAUCACUUCUCGGUUCUUCAUAACCAUACUUAACAAUGUCUCACACAUCUCGUGAACCAAGUAGAGUUUUCAUUCAAAUAUACCAACUACUAUAAUUUUCUUUUUAAGUCGAGACACUUGGAGAGAAACUAAAUUGUUGUUUGCCAUUUGCAAAAAAAAAAUUUUAUACUCUAAACUCAAACUUUGAUACUACUUUGUUGGAAGCGUGUGAUGAACACUCCAAAUAGAUAAUCACAAAAUAGAAUAUUUGUGAGUAAAAAUCUUUUUUUUGGAAAACUUUAACUCUCUUUGUAUCUAUUAUUUUUCAUACCUAGUUGUCUCACCAACGUAAAUGUGAAUCCUAUUUAUAGGAUUGUCAUAAGGAUAGUAACUCACACCACAAUUAAAUAAAAUCCUAAAACUCCUGCUAAAUAUUAACUCACAUCCUUUAAUUUUUGUCAACUCCCAUAAAUCAAUUCACAUAUCUCCUAAUUUAGGGAACUGUCACAAGUAGCAUAAAAAAAAGAAAUGAUUUUUGUGACAAGUAGCAUAAAAAAAAAGAAAUGAUUUACAAAAUAUAACAAAAAUUUUAAAUGAGGUAAAGAGAAUUGGAUGGAUUUUACUAUUUUUUUUUUAACAACUUCAAAAGUAAUAUUUUGCUACUUUUUAACACGUUCCUUUAACUUAUUUAAUUAAAAUAUGUUUAAUUUUCAACCUAGUGUAAGUUGGUAGAUUAGAAUACCAAUAAAAGUCCAUAGUUUAUAAUUGUUUUUUUGAAACAUCAUAGCUUAAUUUAAAUAGAUAUACUUUCUAGUUGAUUCAAUAUGUUCUCCCCUAAAUUUGGUUCAAGUUAAUGGCUUCUAACUACCCAAACGAACCUUUUGUCCUAAUGAAAAACCAUCUGGCCUCCAUACAACACCAACAAUCGAUAUGGCCUACACUAAAAGAAAAGAAAAGAAAAGAAAACUCAAUAUGGUCACUGCCACGUAUAACUCCAAAAUAAUAAUAAUAACAAGAGAGUAAAGGGAAAAAAAGAAGAAGAAUAAAAAGAAAAAUGAAAACCACACAUAUUUGCCUUAUUGUUGAAGCAAUUACUAGGAAUGAAAAUUACAAAACAUUGAGGGAAUUGAAAUCUUAUAUGCUUUGUCAUCAUAUGAGGACAAAAAUUUUGGUUGUAAGUUUAAAUGCAGUUUAUGUUAUGU
rnacentral:lncRNA from 1 species